CUCUUUCUUCUCCUCUUUCUUCUUCCACUUACCUUAUUUUACCCAACAAGGACAUAAUUAGCUAAUUUAGAACCAAAAUGACAUAAUUAGCUAAUUUAACUCCGAAAUGACAUAAUUAGCUAAUUUAGCUCAAAAAAUGAGAUAAUUACCUUAGUUAGGUAAAAACAUAACAAGAACCUUGGUUAGCUCAUAACUUAGCGUAUCUUCCUCCUAAAUGACAUAAUAAUCUCAAAAUGGCGUAAGAACCUUGGUAAGCUCAUAAAUGUUAUAUACUUAGCUUGUUUUCCUCUAAAAUGACAUAAUUAGUUUACUUAGGUAAAAAAUGGCAUAAGAACAUUUGUUACAUCAUAAAUUUCACAUAGUUAGCUUAUUUUCAUCCAAAAUGACAUAAUUAGCUUAGUUAGGUAAAAAAAAAAUGGCAUAAUAACCUUGGUUAGCUCAAAAAGGUCAUAUACUUUGCUUCUUUUCCUCCAAAAUGACAUAAUAAGCUCAAAAAAUGUCAUAUAUUGUUCUUCUUCUUCUAACCUUCUUAUUCCCANNGUGUAAAAGUUUGUAUGUUGGUUAUUUCGAUCUAUGUGUUGUGACUGAUGACAAGCUAAAUUACAGAGUCACACAAUCGUACAUUAUUCAAAUGGAAAGCAGGGUCCGACUACGGACAAGAUAAACGACAAAAGCAAUGCUAUCCCAUAUUGCUAGGCCCACGAUCACGACCAAGUGCCUAUAAUCCUUGGGAUAUGUCACGUACAGUCUGCCACUGCCUCGUCGAACUCCCACCUCAGCUGGGUAUCCCCGGGAACAUCUGCAUCUAGGGAGCCCCCCUGCAGGGUUAAAUCUUUUGGAAAGUAGUGCCCAUGGUUAUGUGGCAACAUGGAUAUUUUGUUAACAUUCGGUUCUAGACAAUCUAAAGUAACUUAACUAAAAUCUGCCAACUGUGUGCGUAACUGUGAUUGUUUCUUUUAGAGCUCCUUCUCUGAUCGAGAACACGGUGGGGUUAUGAAUGACGUAAGUAGGUAUUCAGGAUCACUUAGUGAUCUUAGAUCUCGAUCGUCUUACAUAGUCCACCAUAACAUAUUUCUGAUCUUCGUAAGUUAGCCUCCAUAUAAGCUUACGUUGCUGCAAACUCAAACACUUAACCCUACCUCACUCAUUAACUUAGUUAGACUCGAUACCAAAGUCAUGAGAUUGUUGAGUCAUCGUGACUCACAGUUUACUACAACCACCCAUAGGUACAGGUACCCUAGAUGCAGACGUUCCCGGGGAUACCCAGCUGAGGUGGGAGUUCGACGAGGCAGUGGCUGACUGUACGUGACAUAUCCCAAGGAUUAUAGGCACUUGGUCGUGAUCGUGGGCCUAGCAAUAUGGGAUAGCAUUUCGAUCUAUGUGUUGUGACUGAUGACCAAAUGGCAUUGAUGAACUUUAUAUGUAUAUCAUAUAUGUGAUGUGAACUACAUAUCAUAUAUGUGUUGUGAACUAUAUAUAAGUGUUGUGAAAUAGCAUAAAAUAAACAAAACAGUCAUAAUAUGGGUUCUUUGCCGUCUGCCAGAUGAUGGCAAAAGGCCUUUGCCAUUAGCUGACAGACGACAAAGGGGCCAUGUGGCAGAUAGCUGUGCAAAAUGGGGCAACAAGCGGCUGGCCCAUAUGGGUACUUUGCCGUCUGCUGCCCUGGGAAGUAGACGACAAAGGUUUUCAAGAAGGCAUACGACAAAGGUGUUGGAAAUAUGCCCUAGAGGCAAUAACAAAUUGGUUAUUAUUAUAUUUCCUUGUUCAUAAAAAUUAUUUAUUAUCCAUGCUAGAAUUGUAUUGAUUGGAAACUCAAAUACAUGUGUGGAUACAUAGACAACACACUGUCCCUAGUGAGCCUCUAGUUGACUAGCUCGUUGAUUAAAGAUGGUCAAGAUUUCCUGGCCAUGGACAAGUGUUGUCACUUGAUAAAGGGAUCACAUCAUUAGGAGAAUGAUGUGAUGGAAAAGACCCAAACUAUGAACGUAGCAUAUGAUCGUGUUAGUAUAUUGCUACUAUUUCGGCAUGUCAAUGUAUAUGUUCCUAUGACCAUGAGAUCAUGCAACUCCCGGACACCGGAGGAAUACCUUGUGUGUAUCAAACAUCGCAACGUAACUGGGUGACUAUAAAGGUGCUCUACAGGUAUCUCUGAAGGUGUCUGUUGGGUUGGCAUGGAUCAAGACUCGGAUUUGUCACUCCGUGUGAUGGGGAGGUAUCUCGGGGCCCACUCGGUAAUACAACAUCACAGUAAGACUUGCAAGCAAUGUGACUAAGGAGUUAGUCACGGGAUCAUGUAUUACGGAACGAGUAAAGAGACUUGUCAGUAAUGAGAUUGAACUAGAUAUGGAGAUACCGAUGAUCGAAUCUCGGGCAAGUAACAUACCGAAGGACAAAGGGAACAUCAUACAGGAUUAACUAAAUCCUUGACAUAGAGGUUCAAACGAUAGAGAUCUUUGUAGAAUAUGUAGGAUCCAAUAUGGGCAUCCAGGUCCCGCUGUUGGUUAUUGAUCGGAGAAUGUGUCAUGUCAUGUCUACAUAGUUCUCGAACCCGCACGGUCUGCACACUUAAGGUUCGGUGACGUUUCAGUAUAGUUGAGUUAUAGUUUUUGGUGACUGAAGGUUGUUCGGUGACGUUUCGGUAAAUAUUGAUAGAUAGAAAGUUCUGUUUUGGUCACCGGAAAAGUUUCGGGCUCAUUGGUAGUGUACCGGGAGUGCUGGGAGGGUGCCGGAGGACCACCGGGAGGGGUGUGACGACCCAAGAGCCUUAUGGGAUGUGAGAGGAGGUGACCAGCCCAUGGUGGGCUGUCCGAAGCCUCUCUCAAAAGCCCAUGUGGCUAGGUGUGGAGAUAAAAGGCAAAAGUGCUUUAAAACGAAAGGAAGGAGGAUUCCUCCCAAAGUAGUCCACCUCCCUUGUUGGAAUGUGGACUCUUCCAUGUAGGGUUCGGCCGACCCCUUCUCCUUGGAUUAGGGGCCAAGGCUGCCUCCUCUCCCCUCCUCCUAUAUAUACUAGAGAUUUUGAGGGUUUUGACACACAGAAAUCAGCCACGACUGUCUCUCGGAUAUGUUUCUCCUCUAGUCUAGUUCGGCAGUGCUUAGGCGAAGCCCUGCUGGACUAGUUCACCACCACAACCACCACGCCGCCGUGCUGGAUAACUCAUCUACCUCUCCACACCUCUUGCUGGAUCAAGAAGGUGGAGAUCGUCGUCAAGAUGUACGUGUGUUGAACGCGGAGGUGUCGUCCGUUCGACACUAGAUGGGGAUGGAUCGUGAUGGGAUCGCGGAACGGAUCGUGAUGAGAUUGCCGGACGGGCUGCGAUUUGGAUCAUGAAGAUGUUCCACUACAUCAACCCCGUUAUAUACGCUUCCGCUUAGCGAUCUACAAGGGUAUGUAGAUUCCCUCCCCUCUCGUAGAUGAUCAUCACCAUGGAUAGGUAUUGUGUGUGUGUAGGAAAAUUUUUGUUUCCCAUGAGCUCUCGAGAGAAAUUAUCAUUCAGAACUUCUAUGCUCAGCUUUCUCAUGAUGAUCGCACCAUGCUUGACACUUCUUGUACUAGUUCUUUUAUGAAGAGAGAUAUUGACUUCAGAUGGAAUUUAUUGGAAAGAAUUAAACGCAACUCUGAAGAUUGGGAGUUUGAUGAAGGUAAGGAGUCAGGUAUGAAUUUCAAGUUUGAUUGUGUUAAAUCCUUUGUUGAAACAGAUGAUUUUUGUGAUUUUGGCGCUAAAUAUGGACUUGACUCUGAGAUAGUAGCUUCAUUGUGUGAAUCAUUUGCUGCUCAUAUUGAUCUCCCUAAAGAGAAGUGGUUUAAAUAUCAUCCUCCCUUAGAAGUCAAUGUAGUUAAACCCAAUCCAGUUGAAGAGAAAGUCAUUGCUUAUAAUGACCCUAUUGUUCCCAGUGCUUACAUUGAGAAACCACCUUUUCCUGUUAGGAUAAAGGAUCAUUCUAAAGUUUCAACUCUGAUACGUAGGGGCUACAUUAGAACACCUACACCCCCUGAGCAAAUUGGAGUUGAACCUAGCAUUGCUAUUAUCAAACAUCUCCUGUCCGACAAUGUUGAUGGCCAUGAUAUUCACUUCUGUGAAGAUGCUGCUAGAAUUGCUAAACCACAUGCUAGAGACAAACAUAGGCAUGUUGUUGGCACGUCUGUUGUUUCUGUCAAUAUAGGAGAUCAUUGUUAUCAUGGCUUAUGUGACGUGGGUGCUAGUGUUAGUGCAAUACCUCAAUCCUUAUAUGAUGAAAUUAAAGAUGAGAUUGCACCUGUUGAGAUGGAACCUAUUGAUGUCACUAUUCAGCUUGCCAAUGGAGAUACUAUUUGCCCUUUGGGAAUUGUUAGAGAUGUUGAAGUCUUGUGUGGUAAAACAAAGUAUCGUGCUGAUUUUCUCGUUCUUGCUACCACACAAGAUAGCUUUUGUCCCAUCAUAUUUGGCAGACCUUUCCUCAAUACUGUCAAUGCUCAUAUUGACUGUGAGAAGCAAAUUGUCACUGUUGGCUUUGAAGGUGUGUCACAAGAGUUCAAUUUCUCCAAGUUUGGUAGACAACCUCAUGAAAAAGAGUUGCCUAGUAAGGAUGAAAUUAUUGCCCUAACUUCUAUUAUCGUGCCUCCUACUGAUCCCUUAGAGCAAUACCUGCUUGAGCAUGAAAAUGAUAUGCAUAUGGAUGAAAGGAAUGAGAUAGAUAGAGUUAUAUUUGAAAAAUAUCCUAUGCUUAAGAAUAAUUUGCCUGUUGAACUGCUUGGAGAUCCACCCCCACCAAAGGGUGAUCCUGUGUUCGAGCUUAAACAGUUGCCUGAUACUCUUAAGUAUGCGUAUCUCGAUGAAAAAGAGAUAUAUCCUGUUAUAAUUAGUGCUAGCCUCUCAGAGCAUGAAGAAAAGAAGUUACUAAAAACUCUGAGGAAGCAUCGUGUUGCUAUUGGAUAUACUCUUGAUGAUCUUAAGGGCAUUAGUCCCACUCUAUGCCAGCACAAGAUUAAAACCGAUCCUGAUUCCAAACCAGUUGUCGAUCAUCAACGAAGAUUAAAUCCUAAGAUGGAAGAGGUAGUAAGCAAAGAGAUACUAAAGCUCCUGGAAGCAGGCAUUAUCUAUCAUGUUGCUCAUAGUGAUUGGGUGAGUCCGGUGCAUUGCGUCCCUAAGAAGGGAGGUAUUACCAUUGUCCCUAAUGAUAAGGAUGAAUUGAUCCCAUAGAGGAUUAUUACUGGAUAUAGGAUGGUGAUCGAUUUUAGGAAAUUGAAUAAAGCCACUAGGAAAGAUCAUUACCCUUUGCCUUUUAUCGACCAAAUGCUAGAAAGAUUGUCUAAACACACACACUUCUGCUUUCUAGAUGGUUAUUUUGGUUUCUUCCAAAUACGUGUUGCACAAUCUGAUCAGGAGAAAACCACUUUCACCUGCCCUUUCGGUACCUUUGCUUACAAACAUAUGCAUUUUGGCUUAUGUAAUGCACCUGCCACCUUUCAAAGAUGUAUGAUGGCUAUAUUCUCUGACUUUUGUGAAAAGAUUGUUGAGGUUUUCAUGGAUGACUUCUCCGUUUACGGGUCUUCUUUUGAUGAUUUCCUCAACAACCUUGAUCGAGUCUUGCAGAGAUGUAAAGACACCAACCUUGUCUUGAAUUACGAGAAGUGUCACUUUAUGGUUAAUGAAGGCAUAGUCUUAGGACAUGAAAUUUCUGAAAGAGGUAUUGAAGUCGAUAAUUUCAGUGCUUGCAGAGAAUACCUUGCUGAAAACCACUUGUCAGAUCCUUCUGCUCCUCCUUGGGUUUGACACUCUUACUUAUCGAAAGGACUGCGAUAGAUCCCCUACACUUGUGGGUCAUCAGACACCAUCACGAGAGUGACCACACAUCACUCCCGCCACUAGUAAUGGGGCUCUUUGCUAGCACCGACCAGAGUAAUCAACAAAGCCCCGUCCCAUAAAGGGGUAAUGUGGUCGUACAUGUAAGGUUGGGACAGUCGGCACAUCAUAAAUCUAAUCCAAUUUCCGAAACCAUACUCACUCAAAAUACCCGGUGCACCACUUCUCCGAAAGUGACCACCUAACUCAUCAUCACCCUCGGGCAUUAGUGGCACCCGACGGGGUUUUCAUAAACCUUUGAUUUAUACCAACAUCAUGCUCAUGCUACCAUGCUUAGCUCUACUUGUCAUAGAUGGUAGGAUCAUGCUCAAAAUGCAAGUGCUCCAGAGGAGCCUUCGGUAACAUCACUUCAAUGAUUUACCGAGUACAUGUGAUCACAUGCAACGGAAAUACUUGCUACACUAGCAUGCAAUAUAACAUAUGCUCAGUCAUGGUCAAAGGUCUGCUUGCCUUUGCUCACAUAAAUCCUCGGGGUCUUCCAGGUCUUCCGAUCCAUCUCCUAGUGUUUCAUCUACCCGUCAACUAUCGUCAGAAACAACCACGGUAAGCCACACAGCAGGCAAAAAUUAAAGUGCUCCAUAAAUAGAAGUUAUAUGGGGUCUUGGACCUCUCUGGUCAUAAGAAAAAUACCUGAAGCUUGCCAUAGGAGAUUUAGAUCAUCAGAGAAUUUUUGAAUGGACGAAAGGAGGAAUAGGUGAUCUCUAAAGAUGCCUACAGAAAAUAUCAUGAUAAAAAUGAGUGGAGGCACUCAUUUAAUAGAUAAUAAUUUCAGAAAUAUUUAGGAAGUUGUUUCACUGGAUUUGGAGUUGGCAUGAAUAUUCUAGGGAUUUUCUAAAUGGAAUAAAUAGCAAAAGGGAUCUAUUUAUUUAUUGCAGCAGAAAUAUGCCAUAUAAAAAGGUUGGCUAUGUCUCCAAAAAUAGGGCAUGGUAUUAGAUGUCUCUGGAAUUUGGAAUCAAUCCAUUUGGAGUGGAUUUGAAUCCUGUAGGAUUUUUGAAAGGGGAGCUAGAAACACCCCAAAUCUGUAUUUAAAUAUAAAUACAGUAUAAAAUUUGUUUGGAAAAAUGUGCAAAGCACAUAUUUGGAUAGCCCUGGAUUUUAGGAACCUGCAGGAAUUUGAAUUAUCAAAUUUGGGGCUCAUAUGAAUUUGCUAUAGAUUUUUGAAGAUCGUGAAGAAAAAGAAAAGGCAAAAGAAGGCUACCAGGGGAUUUAUAUCGCGCUCAGGGCGGCCGGUAGAGAGAUGGGUCGGCCCAAUAGCACAGACUCACCAGCGAAGGGCCAUGGUGGAAGCGCAUUGCCAGGAAUACGCCUCCCACCGGGGAAGACGGUUUUUCACCAAAUCCCGCCUCCGCUUAACCUCAUAGUGGGGUCACGUCGUUGCGGCUUAGGCUGACAGGUGGGUUCUAGAGGAUAUGGGGUCCGCUGGCAGGAGCUACCUCUUCCUCCCGCCUAUGUCGACCGAAGGUGAGUAGAGGGCGUCGGCGCCGCUCGUGCCACGACCUGUGCAGCGGCAGGCGAGGCCCGGCCUCCCGGAGCCAUGGGGAAGGCGACGACCUGAAGGGGAGGGGUGCGCUGCGCUCCCCAUGGAAGGAUCUGGUUGCUGCCAGCUCUUGCCAGGGCGAAUGGCGGCGACGGCCCAAGCUGGGGAGCUCGAUUCGGCGGUGGAGGUCAAGCUCUGGAGCGCCAUGAAGGUGGGUGGAGGCAUUGGAGGGCCUAGGGGAAGCUCAGAAGGGGAGAAGAGGGAUCGGGAGAGCCGAAUUUGGAGCGAGACCACGGCGGCACCUUGCGGCCAUUGGAGAGAAAGAGAGCUCCAGAGGGAGAUCGGGGAGGUGCGGGAGAUUUCUAGGGAGAGAUGGAAGUGGAUAAGAGGGCUCAGGCGCUCGGGGAGUCCAUAUGGAGAGGGGGAGACGAGAAAGAUCUCUAGUGCUCCCUGGUGCUCUCUGGGCACGGCGGCCACGCGUGCCUGAGCCACCUUGGCUGCAUCCUGGCGGCGGGGAGGGCUUGAACGGUCAAAGGGGAGUGCCCUGGCGCGCUGGGACACGCGGUCGUUGAGGGACCCGAGCUGUAGGACGAAGAAAGGGUGCAGAGCACUGUUGCUGCAUGCUGCCAGCGCGGUCACCAUGGCCACUCGUGUCCAUAGGGCUACUAGGACGAGUCAAACAUGUCCAACACAUAGGGCACACAUGCAGGAAAGAGACUCGGGAAUUUGGUUGCAUCUGGGGCUGGUUUGAAUGGGUUUGGACUGUGAUUAAGUUUGCAGCAGCAAACUUGGGGCUGGCAUAAGUGGUUUUCUCAUAAGGGGAAUUGAGGUGAAACCUUGUCUACCAGUCUUAUACAUGGAAGUACUACAACAAUGCCAAGUUUGAGAUCAAGCACAGGUGUGUAGCUAGUACUUGUUGUACAAAGCUAUAUUUUAGCCAGAAAUAAACUUGCAGAUGUGGUGCUCAAUUUCCACAUAUGAGCAUGCCAUAAAUUGGCUUGAAAUGAUGCCUUGGAAUGCUAGAGGCCCUUUGGAAAGAUAUGGUGGCUUUGGCUUAAGCAGAAGUGGGACGUGAGGGGUAAAAAGGGUGAACCAAGGGUAAAAAUGAGGAAUAGUUACAUGGAGUCUCUCUCCAAUAAUUGACUAGAGGCCAUGACAAAGCUACUGGAGGUAAAAUGUAACUAGGGAAGACUGUGGUAGAAAGUUGAGCUCAAGGGUAAAGGUGAAAGAGGUCAAAGUACCCACUUUAGUGAGUGCACACAAGGUGUUUGAUGAGUGUCAGAGCAACCAGAUGAGCUUCAAUAGAUAUGAAACUUAACAGGAUCAAAUAAUAGAUGAAAAUAAGCUUGGACACCAAAUUUGGGAUUUGGUGGAGAAGGUUUCCAAUGUAGACUUGGAAAACCCAUGAAAUGGGCAGAAAUAGCUUUCUGCUUACAAAACUAUUCAAAUCAGUUCUCACAAAUCCAAUAUUUGGUGUGGGCAUUAUUUGAGCAUUAAGGCAUGCCAAAAACGUUUGGUGUCAAUGGGAGAAACUUUAUAAUGUAAAGUUUCCCAAAGUCAGAAAUCAACAGAGAGGAUUUUGAGGGGCUUGGGACAAGUUCUUCUAUUCUCCUUGAUGCACCACUUGGGGUGGACGCAUUAUUGGAGUAUCAGAACAUGUCUACCAAAUUUCAGCGCAAUUGGAGAUACUUGACAAUGUAGAGUUGCUCAAAUUUGGAUCUGAACAGAUAGGGUUUUAGAAUAAUUAGGGAAAUAACUCGCUAGUGCACCACGUGAAAUAACUGGCUAGUCCACCUCCUGCACUCACCUAACAGAAAAGGGGAGGCGGCUCCCGACGGCGAUUGCCGGAGCUACAGGCCGUCUCCGGCGGUGCUCCGCCCAUGGAUGGACUCAUCAUGAAGAGGCGCAUCCAGUGGUGGGCGAACCAGAUGCUAGGGAUCGCCAGAGCAGUGGCUGCACUGCCCGUGGUUGACGGCGAUUCGGGCGGCGACAGCCUCGGGACUACGGCAUUGGAGGGCUAGGGAGGAGCUAGGACAGAGCUUCGCCUGGCUCCGGGGAGGCUGAUGAAGGUGGCACCAAGGAGGAAGGAGGCCCGACUCACUUCAAUUUAAGAGGAGGUUGGCGGCGGCCGUGGUGGCAAUGGGCGGCGAGGAAGAGCUCCGGGGCUCAGGCAGGCGUCUAGGGUGGGGUAGGGGUGUGAGGGGAGGCUGUCCUAGUAAAAUUUCAGAAAUUAUGGAGCAACAUAAAGUAUAGUUGCUUCACAAUCCAAAAUAAUGACCAGAGACAAAGAUUUGAUGUUGUGGUCACACAGUGGAUGGGGUGAUGCUCAAAUUUGGUGGAGAGUCAUGAUUGGAGGUCUUACAUGGACACCCGGCGUUGAGCUAGCUAUGUAUAAGACAAACCUUACUAUCAAGAACGACUAAGUCCAUGUGGUGGAUAGGCCUAUUGGCAGUUCCUCCAUGAUAAAACCACAAGCGGCAGAUAUGGACAGAGAUACUCCAUUUCUUGUUGUGAUUGUGUAUCUCAGAGAGAAUCUGAUGGGCCAUGUGCAAAGGCAGAGACAACGCUGGUUAGGAAGGUAAAAACAUAUACAUAAGCGUUACACCAAGCAUAGCAAUAUGAUAGGAUACCAAAUUGAAGUCAAGUAAACAGACAUACUAAGUGAACUAACAAAAUAGCAUGAACGCGUUAAUAGAGGCAUGUAUAAGAACAAACUAAACAGAGUCAAAGAUUGGGCGGUAAAAUCAUAUACAACAUAGAUACUAUCUGAGGCAAUGGUAGCGUAGGGGAAAAUAGCAUUUAUAUUCUUAAAGCUUGUUGAAAAGGGAGUAGACAAUUGAAAUUUAUUACUAAAACCAGGAACCAUGUGAAAAUGGAGAUCAAGGCGCAACAAGUAGUAGUGAACCAGAAGUAGCUCGCAAAAUAAAGUGCGACAUUAGAACUAUUAUAGAGUCUGAAAUAUCUUAGAGAAAACAAUGUUUCUAGUAUGGGAUCCAGGUGUGCCAUCUUCAUUCUCGAUCAGUAUUUUCAAGUAUUUAUUAGAAAUCAGAUGUGAGACGGCCACGUAAAGCUGGCCAUGAGUGAAAACACGCUUUUAAGGUAUAACCCAACAACCGAGAGAGUUUGUCCCUUGCUCUUAUUGAUGGACAUGGCAUAAGAAACCCUGAAUGGAAAUUGGCGAUGAUGCAAGUAAAUGGCAAUUUAGGAUCCUUGCUAGUGAUACAAAUCCUUGGAAUGUAUACAACAUCCCCGAUAUUAGAACCAAUCACGAUAAUAGCUUAAAUGACUUUGUCACCAACUUUAGAGACAAUAAGACGAGUGCCAUUAAAAAGACUAGUUGAUUGGCUCAUAUUCCUAACGAGCAUGAUUGGUACACCGUUUUUUGAAACUAGCUUAUGUUAUGGGAAAAUGUUAAUUUUCAUUGUGUUUAGGUACUCAACGGGAUAAAAUAUAUCCAUGUUACACAUUGAAUUAGCAGCAUUUCAUAUAGAAUCAUAGCUUAAAUACUCCCUCUCAGUGGAAGGCAUUAAGUCAAGCACAUGGUCAUUAACUUCUUGAGCUAGAUCAUUUGUUGUUGUAAAGAUAGCCCUUUGGCGCAAAUGCUUUGGGUUAUAACCGUUUUUAGCAAAGUUUGUGUAUGUAGUAUUAACAAACGCACCUAUUAUACCAUCUUCAGAAUGGAUCGGCACAGCAUCAAGAAUAGUUAUCCAACUUGGUUCACACUCCCCUUGCUGAGCUAAACAAGGUGUUGUGCCAUCACCAACACUCAGUAUCCAACCAGCAAAAUAAUCCACCUCAUCCUGUAAAACGAGGAAUGUUGUUUGCGCAGCCAAACUCGUGUUUAUGUUAAGCUGAAGAACCUUUAUAAAAUGCCAUGGAGGCAAAUUUGUUAUGGCAUCGUUGAUAACCUGGGAGCGAGUCCCACCCUCAAUGACCGGUAAAAUUUGUGUGAAAUCACCACCUAGGACCAUAAUCUUACCACCAAAAUGCAUGUCACCUAUAGAAGGAUCAUCAGUAGAUAAAACAUCAUGCAAGCUACGACCCAAGGCCUCAACACAUCUACAAUCUAUCAUUAAAGCUUCAUCCCAUAUUAUUAGCGACGCCAAUUUGAUCAUCUCUGUUAACUUGCUAGAUCUCUUUAUAUCACAUGUUCUAGUGUCAUUUAGACUGAUUGGUAUUUUGAACCUAGAAUGAGCAGUCCUGCCUCCAGGUAAAAGAAGUGUUGCAACCCCACGAGACGCAACUAUGAGAAAAAGCAUUUCUUUACCUCUAAGAUAAGCAAUUAUAGUACUCCAAAGAAAAGUCUUCCCAGUCCCAUAUCUAGAAACAAAUAAAAAGCCAGGCAUUCUAUAUAUAACUCUACGGAUAAUACUCUUAUAAGCUAGGAGCUGAUUUGGAUUUAGUUAGUUGUACAUGGUCUCUGCUUUUAUGAGUUCACUUUUAGGAUCACUACAUAGUUCAUAUGUUAUCGUGCCAUUCUCUCUAAGUCAUCAUCAUAUACAUUUUUUAGUGGUAGGUUGUGGUCUAGAAUAUUAAAUCCACUUUUAGCAAAUAGAAUGGUUAUUUAUCAAGCAACAUGUCUCUCAAUUCAUCGCGAGGCAUAACAUGAUUAUCAUUAGGAAAAUAGCGCUUUAUAUCAUACUUAAUAUCUUCAGCCAAGUCUGUCCAAUAUUUUUCAAAAAAAUCAUUUUCAUCGUUAACUCCAUAGUGGGCAAGGAUUGUAACAAAAAAAUAUGUAGUUGAUCCCCCAUACCCUAGGUCAGAGCCUCAUUAAACGCAUUAUACCAUUCAAGAUCAUCUCCAAGCAAGCCCUUAGCAUCACUGUAACAGCCCCAAUGCAAUUCUCCCCCCUCCUUGUAAUCUUUCCUUAUAAGGCAACCUUGUGAUGUUAUGUCAAGUGGGUUGAGCUCAUUGGUGUCUUCAUUUCAUGUGCAUCAUGGCAUCAUCGUUCAUCUUUGUUUUGUGUUGCACCCUUGGUGAUUGAAAGUGGAGUGUUAUGUGAGUGUGGCAUGUGAUUGUGUGUGAUGGGGACCAACUAUCUUAUCUUCUCAAAACCCUUGUUGCACCAAAAGUCUUGCAAAACCCCUUCUCUCCUCUCUUAUUUUCUAUGAGACAGUUUUAAAAGUUUCUGUUUUGGGUGAAAUAAAAUGUUCAUCUUUUCCUAAAAUACUUUUGAUAAUUGCGGGGGCAACCCCUCUGAUUUUAGUUUUGUUUUCCCUAUUUGUCUUAUUUUGAAACAGGGUCUUAUACAAAUAAAAGGCAUUUAAAUUUUACUCUCCAAAAAUGCCCAAUUUAUUAUCAUAAAUUGGUGCAUGAUUUUAGAAGACCAGGUAUAUUUUUAUUUUGUUUCAUUCCUUUCUUUAGCCUCUGGCAUUUUUUUCAAACCUGCUUCUCUUUUAUUUGCGAAGGGAUUUCUUUCUAGAGAGAGGGGUGCACGCCCGUUGCGUUAGUUUCAGCCCAGCCAGCCCAGGGCAAGACCCUCUUCUUCCUCGCGACGUCACCUUCAUACGGCGCCAGGGACAGCCGCCAGAUCGUGUCUUCUCCCUCAUCGACAGUCGUGCCUUGGUAUGCGGGCUAUUUAGCCUUCCCCUUCCCAUCUCCUUGCCCUAGCCUCUCUCUCCCCCCUCCCUCUCGCGCCAUCGGGAAGAAGCACAACACGGCCGUCACCAUGGACAGCUCCGGCUCGAGCUCGACGCCGGCAUAGCAUCGCCUCCCCUCCUUCCCCGUCUUGUCUAGGAGCAAGCGGUGCCCGGCGCGGUUCCAUUUUUGCGAAGACCCAGCGACAAGGACUGCAUCCCCGACGUCCACGACAGUCGGCUCCUUCCUCUUCUCUCCAACGAUCUCUUCUGCAAAGAACCUCAAUGUCGCGUGUUCCUUCAUGUGUCGGCUCUUCUCUCCAUCCCUAGGUGAGCGCACACCGUUCAUCUCCGCUCCCCUCUCCGGUAGUAGCCGUCGUAGUUACGUCGUGUCCGUAGCCCUGCCGGAGUUGCACCGCAGGUAGUAGCUUGCAGCGGCAGCAGUAGGUGGUAGCUUGCAGCAGCAGCAGUAGGUAGUAGCUUGCGGCAACGACAGUAUGUAGUAGCUUGCAGCAGCAGCCGCCGCCGCAGUUCAUAGCGCAGCAGCAGCAAUAAAUCGGUAGGCAACAGCGACGGAUGCAUAUCGUAGAAGCGGCAGCACGUCUUCGGCGCUCCUCUGCUUUCAGAGAGAGGACGCCCUGGGUUUUUCACCCCGCUUAGACCCCCCUUAAGAGCAUAUGCACUGCCCUAGACCGACUGGUACAACGCAAGUCCGCCGCCCCCCCCCCCCUCUUUCCCUUUUGAAUUUUCGCGUGGUAGUGUGGAGAGCAGAGCAGGUUCAUCCUACUUGCUGCUCUGAUUACCCUUUUGAAUUUUCGCGUGGUAGUGUGGAGACCAGAGCAGGUUCAUCCUACUUGCUGCUCUGAUUAGAGUAGAUGCACGUCGAUGGCGAAGUGGCAACCGAACCAUCUCUCGCGCAGCUGGUGGUCGGUUCGAGUCCCCCUUGCGCUCUUUUAUUCUGCUGGGAUUUUUCCCUCGUGUUAGGAGGGAGAGCCAGAUUGGUUGUUGUGCUUCUUUUAUUCUGCUGGGAUUUUUCCCUCGUGUUAGGAGGCAGAGCCAGAUUGGUUGUUGUGCUUCUUUUAUUCUGCUGGGAUUUUUCCUCGUGUUAGGAGGCAGAGCCAGAUUGGUUGUUGUGCUUCCCCUAUUAGUGCAGAAAGCAUGCGGUAGCCCAGUUGCAGGGUGUGGUGUGUGUGUGUGGGUGCGGUGGAGGGUUUGAUCCCCACAAAGCCCAUUUUCCCCUUUUCCAUGUUUUUUCAGUUGUGUGUGUGUGGUGUGUGACAAGUGGGCCCGGGGCCACAUGUCAUAUACUAAGGGCUCCUGGUCCCUAUGACCAGUGGGGCCCCCUGUCAUUUAGUGUGCUUAUUUGUUAUCUUCUUUUGUUUGUGAUGUAUUUUCAAAUAUGGAAUAUUUCCAGAAGAGGAAUAUACCCAAUUGGGCAGGUUCAAGAACAGCUCAUGUUCUGGAAAAUAGCAGAGUUUGAUCCUGUGUAGUAUUUCCUUUGCUGUUUGUGCUGUUUUUCUGCAUGCAUAUAUAGCAGUAUAAUAUAUGGUUUGGAGGUAGAAAAACCCAAAGAAUCCAAUGGUGGCACUCGAUUUCAGAGUUGAGUAGUUAUGCAAAACUAUCAUUUUGUGAUGAGGUGGCACUUGGUUAUCUGUGUAGGAUUGUUUAUGUGCAUAUUUAGGGGUUGUGUAUCCAUGCAUCAUAUUGAUUGUUGCAUUACCAAUUGCUGGUAUUUACUGUUGUUUGUUUCUUUUAGGUAGCUAGUGGGUCCGCAAACGAGUUCGAGGAGUCCGGUGAGUUCGUGCAUGAAGAUCAGGAAAAGUUCCACUCUAAAGAUAUCACACGCAAGAUUUUUUUCCCCUCGUGUUAGGAGGCAGAGCCAGAUUGGUUGUUGUGCUUCUUUUAUUCUGCUGGGAAUUUUCCCUCGUGUUAGGAGGCAGGGCCAGAUUGGUUGUUGUGCUUCUUUUAUUCUGCUGGGAUUUUUCCUCGUGUUAGGAGGCAGAGCCAGAUUGGUUGUUGUGCUUCCCCUAUUAGUGCAGAUAGCAUGCGGUAGCCCAGUUGCACGGUGUGAUGUGUGUGUGGGUGAGGUGGAGGAUUUGAUCCCCACAAAGCCCAUUUUCCCUUUUUCCAUGUUUUUUCAGUUGUGUGUGUGUGGUGUGUGACAGGUGGGCCCGGGGCUACAUGUCAUAUGCUAAGGGCUCCUCGUCCCUAUGACCAGUGGGGCCCUGUUGGCCCAGACUCGACCUUGACGACGCAACCGUCGAGUACUUUCCGACGAUGCACGUACAAGCUACCGCAACCGAUUACUUUCCGGCCGGUCGGGAGACUCGUGUACACAAGUAGUACGUAAAGCAGCUGGAUGGAUUUCCUUCCUGUGAGGCAAACACAUGCACGUAUACGAGUAGCCGCUUGAUGGAAUCGAGCCGCCGGCUAGCUAUGUUGUACACGCCACAGGAGAAACAAACACGCCGAGUUUUGGUGGCCAGAGGUGCGUGUCGCACCUGAUUGUUGAUCUCUAUGAUCUGUUUUUCUUGGUACAAAGACUACACAGGGGUAUACGUAUAUAUAUUGCUAAGCUAGGCCUACUGCAGACCGACUCGGUUUGCAAUACUACUACUAAUCCUACUCGGUUUGCAAUACUAACCAAAUUAGGACACACGUGUACGUUUAGACUACAACUAGGUUAAUUACUACAUUCACCUCCUUAACCUUGUUGAUAUGUCUUCAUUGCUUGCACUCCGACUUUCUUCCUCAUCUCAAUGAACUUCUGUCGACCGAGGGACUUGGUGAAAAUAUCAGCAAGCUGGUCCUUCGUAUUCACGUGCAGAACUUCUAUCAUCCCUUCCUCAACGCACUCCCGGAUAUGAUGGAACCGGGUAUCUAUGUGCUUGCUCCUUUCGUGAUGAACCGGAUUUUUGCACAAUGAGAUUGCAACUUGGUUGUCAAUCUUUAAUGACACCUUCUGCACCUCCCGCUUUGCAAGAAUAGCUAGGAGUCUUCUCAGCCAAACUUCUUGACAAGCCGCCGUGCUUGCCGCUAUGUAUUCUGCCUCGCAUGAAGACAGUGCCACCACCUUUUGCUUCUGAGAAUUCCAGCUAAUCGGAUUCGGGCCAAGGUAGAAAACCAUGCCCGUUGUGCUCUUUCGGUCAUCAACAUCACCUGCCAUGUCACUAUCUGAAUAUCCACGAAGGAUCAAUCCUUCCUUUCCCUUUCUGUACGUGCAGCCAAGAUUAAUUGUGCCUUUCACAUAGCGUAGAAUUUGAUUGACCACGCUCAUGUGUUCGGUUGUCGGUUUCUCCAUGAAACGACUCACGAUCCCGACUGAAUAAGCCAAGUCAGGUCGGGUAUGCACCAAGUAUCUUAGGCUACCCACAACGCUUCGAUACAUUGUGGUGUCCACCGGCGGAUUUGAGCUACGCUUGCUCAACUUGUGACGUUGGUCCAUUGGAACUUGUGUCGCGUAGCAAUCUGACAUGCCACACUUGUCCAAUAACUUGACCGCGUAAGCCGAUUGACAUAGGGAAAUCUCUCCGGAGCUUUGCUUCACUUCGAUGCCCAAGUAAUAGCUGAGUAAUCCCAGAUCACUCAUGCUAAACUUGUUCUUCAUUUGCGCCUUGAAACGUUCAAUUUCUUGUAUGCUAUCUCCGGUGAUAAUCAGAUCGUCGACAUAAACUCCAACUAGCAGGUUUGAGCCUUUGGAGUUCUUUGUAUAGACUGCGUGCUCGAGGGGACAUCUCUUGAACCCGAGCGAGACCAGACUUCGGUUUAACUUUGAGUUCCAAGCUCUUGGCGCUUGCUUUAACCCGUAAAGUGCCUUCUUGAGCUUGUAAACUUUCCCUUCUUCGCCUUUCUUCUCGUAGCCGAGGGGUUGUUCCACGUACACUUCUUCUGUGAGAUCGCCGUGAGGAAAGCGGAUUUAACAUCCAUAUGAUGAACCUUCCAAUCCUCUUGUGCUGCCAAAGCUAGGAGCACUCUCACCGUCUCGAUUCGAGCAACCGGUGCAAACACCUCAUCAUAGUCAACUCCUUGACGUUGAACGUAGCCCUUUGCAACGAGUCUUGCCUUGUACUUCACAAUGGCACCCUGCGUGUCCUUCUUUAACUUGUAAACCCACUUCAAACCUAUCGUCUUUUGGUUUGGAGGUCGGGUUACCAAAGUCCACGUGCCAUUGCUCUCAAGUGCCUUCAUCUCCUCAUCCAUGGCGUGCGUCCAGCUAGGACUUUUUCUCGCCUCUACGAAGUUCGCCGGCUCCUCAACUCCGAACAGAUAUAGUCCGGAGUACUCGAGCGUAACUGGCUUUGUGUACUUGUAGACUUUCUUGAGGGUCUUGUAGCGACGAGGCCCUGAGGAGUCCGUUGUGGCUUGCGAAGGAGGCGACACAAAUUGUGUCGGUGUUGAUGCACUUGAGGAAGACGGCUGAGACCUUGGUGUGUCAUCGACAUCCGUGUCGUCGGCGUAGUCGUCGUGACCGUGACCAUCAUCUUGAUUGUCGUCGUCACUAUGCGCCUCGUUGUCGAUGUUGUCGUCGAGAUCUCCGCCUGUGUCGUGCGCGGCGUUGUCUCUAUCUCCUUGCGACCUAUGCGCGUCGUCGUCGGUGUCGGCACCAUGAUGAUCACUACCAUUGUGGUCACCUUGGUUGGGCGUCUUGCCAAUCACCUGGACAUCCUCCCCUGCAUCAUCAUCAGUUGGAAAUUCAACUGCAAAUAUGUUACUGUUUGGAGCAUCGUCGGCUGCGGCGCUCCAAUUCCACGCUUGGUUUUCUUCAAACACGACGUCGCGUGAAAUCCGUAGACGCUUGGUUUGUGGAUCGUAGAAACGGUAUGCCUUGGUGCCAGAACUGCUCUCGUAUCCGAUGAACACCAUCUUGGUGCUACGAUCGGCAAGCUUUGAGAGGUGCGGCUCCGCCGUCUUCACAUGUGCCACGCACCCGAAUGUCCGUAGAUGAGACACAUUCGGCUUACGUCCGUAAAUUGCUUCAUACGGAGUCUUGCCGAUCACCGCCUUCGUUGGAGCCCGGUUGAGAAGAUAGACCGCCGUCGAGACAGCUUCUCCCCAAAAAGUCCCUGGCAGGUUCUUGCUCUUGAGUAAACUCCUUGCCAUGUCAACGACGGUUCGAUUGCGCCUUUCAACGACCCCAUUCUGCUGCGGCGUGUAAGGUGCCGUGAGGAACCUCUUUAUGCCAAUCUUCUCGCAGUAGUCGUUGAACUCAUUCGACGUAAACUCUCCGCCGCGAUCUGUCCGUAGAGCGCGAACCUUUAGCUUGUGUUCCAUCUCUGUUGCAGCCUUCAAUUUCUUGAACGCUUCAAACGCCUCAUCUUUAGAUCGUAGGAGAAUGACCCACAUAUAUCUCGAGUAGUCGUCUACCACAAGGAAGAAAUACUUCUUUCCAGCGUGAGUUGCCGGGGUGAUAGGGCCACAUAGAUCACCAUGGAGCAGCUCGAGUGCAUCACUUGCACGAUAGGUAGACUGAGCAGGGAAUGGCCUGCGGUGUUGUUUUCCAACCAAGCACCCGUCACAUACUCGAUCAACAUGGUCGAUAACUGGCAUCCCGGAUACCAUCUGCAUCUUUGACAUCUUCUUCAAGGGGUAGAAGUUAACGUGUCCAAAUCUAGCAUGCCAUAGCCACGAAUCAUCAUCACUCUUGGCAAGCCAACACUCCGGUUGAGAUUGAUCAAGGUUGAGGAUAUAGAGCCUAUUCCGUGUGCGAUUAACACGAGCUAGCACAUUUCGGAGGUUGUCGAAGAUCGUCAUCACUCCGCUCUCGAUAUUCACCUUGCAUCCAUUCUCAUCAAGCUUCCCAAUAGAGAUGAUGUUGUUGCGCAGCCGUGGGAUGUAGUACACUCCGGUGAGUAUGCGAUGUUCGCCUGUGAGACCCUCAAAGAGGACAGAUCCUUGCCCGCAAAUCUCCACAGCUGAACCAUCACCGAACUUGACCGAGCCUUCAACAUCGUAUUCCAGCUCGAGGAAUUUCUCCUUGCACCCCGUCAUGUGGUUACUGGCACCCGUGUCGAGAUACCACGACACGUUCUGAUCACCGGAUAACUUUGGUGUCACUUUUUCCUCAUGAAGUAGCACCUUCCGGCUUGGUUUCACAACCACCGUUUCAGCGAGAUCACAAACUUCGGCCAUCAGAAGACCUGGACCUUCGUCUUCCUGCUUUGCCAAAUUUGCCUUGAUCUCCCGCUUGUUAGGCUUUGGACAAUCCUUCGCAAAGUGACCCAUCUUAUUGCAGUUAUACACUUGACCUCGGACAAGUCCAAGUUCUGUGGUUUCUGCUCUUUAGAUUGGCCCGCCUUACCACGACCUUGUGGUUUGCCUUUUCCUUUGCCUUUUCCGUUUUGUCCAUCGCCCUUCGUGUUGCUUGAGCCUUCGCCACCGUCACGCCUUCCUUUGCUACUUGGGGCCUCCCAAUCUGUGCGCGAGUACAUGAGUUGGUCACUACCUCCUCCUUUGCCUUUCCGACAGCCACGAGCAUUCUCUUCCCAUGUCCGCAAUCGUCCGAUCGCCUCCGUUAUGGUCAUGUCGUCGAUGUCGUAAAGCUGCUCGAGCGUGCCGAUGAUGUACGUGAAUUUAUCAGUGACAGAACUGAAAAAUUUCUCCACGAUCUCGGUCUCAUCGAGCUUUGCACCAAGCGCGCGGAUCUCUCCCACCAAAGUAGUAAGACGCAUGGCGUAGUCAUUCACCGAUUCAGUUUCCUCCAUCUGCAACUUGUGAAAUUGGCGUUUCAGCACUUGUGCCCGAGCCUUGCUGACGCGAUCUUCUCCGAUCCUCAUCUCCUUGAGUGCGUUCCACGCCUCUCUUGCCGUCUCGAACUUCGCCAAUGUCAUCAGCACGGAAUCCGGCACAGACUGGGCUAUGGCGGCCAUGGCACCUUCGUCGCGCUCCUCGUCGACGUCGUCGUCCGUGAUGGCCUCCCACACUCGAAGGGAUCGAAGAAUAAUCUUCAUCUUCACCGCCCACACGCCGUAGUUGGCGUCGGUGAGCAUCGGGUACUGGAUGGGGAUGUUGCGAUGCGCCUGGACGUUAGCGCCGCUCGUUCCUCCACCACUGGUUGCUGACUUGACGCCCUUCUUCACCUUGUCGCCGUUCUUGUUCGCCUUGGCACCGCCGCUGCCGGACUUGACCGACUCAGCGUCGCUGUCCGUCAUCGUAGAUCGUAGAUCGUCGAGGCUCUAGAUACCAAUAGGCCCCUGUCAUUUAGUAUGCUUAUUUAUUAUUUUCUUUUGUUUGUGAUGUAUUUCCAAAUCUGGAAUAUUUCCAGAAGAGGAAUAUACCCAAUUGGGCAGGUUCAAGAACAGCUCAUGUUGUGGAAAAUAGCAGAGUUUGAUCCUGUGUAGUAUUUUCUUUGUUGUUUGUGGUGUUUUUCUGCAUGCAUAUAUAGCAGUAUAAUAUAUGGUUUGGGGUAGAAAAACCCAAGGAAUCCAAUGGUGGCACUCGAUUUCAGAGUUGAGUAGUUAUGCAAAACUGUCAUUUUGUGAUGAGGUGGCACUUGGUUAUCUGUGUAGGAUUGUUUAUGUGUAUAUUUAGGGGUUGUGUAUCCAUGCAUCAUAUUGAUUGUUGCAUUAUCAAUUGCUGGUGUUUAUUGUUGUUUGUUUCUUUUAGGUAGCUAGUGGGUCCCGAAACGAGUUCAAGGAGUCCGGUGAGUUCGUGCACGAAGAUCAGGAAAAGUUCCACUCUAAAGAUAUCACACGCAAGAUGAUCGUGACCUUGACACCGUUUCUAGCUUUGUUAUGCUUCGUGAUUCAUUUCAGUCGUUAUAUCUCCGUUGCCUACCACCUGAUAUAUAGGCCAUCAAACAUUGCCAUGAAACCUCAAACACCAACCCUCCUAGCAAAUAUUGUUUGGCUAAGUUAGGCUUACUCAACCUUUAUUAUUAGCAUUGCUAGUUGCAGGUGCAAGCUGGUCCAUGUGAUAACAUGGGCAUUUGAAAUCAUCCUUAUUUAAAUGCUAUUCACUUAAUGCACCUAUGUAAUUGGUAAAUAGCGGAAGGCCUAGCCUUUUGCCGGGUGAUUUGUUCCGCUGUUGCCGCCUUAGUUUCAUCUACCGGUGUUUUAUUCCAUAAGUCAGCGCUCCUAACACGUCCGAGGUUGUUAAUGGGACCCCCUUGGUUAAUCGUUUAGUGUUAAGGCAUGUCUGGCAAGACCCAACUUUGUUGUUAAUUUGUUAACAACUUAAUAAAAAGCAUAGGGAAUAGCUAUCCUGAGGAAUCCAAUCAUCCCCCCUGGGCCAGUGCUCCUCAUGAGUGUUGGUCCAAACUAGAGCACUGUGCGGGGCCAACCAGGUCAACUUGGGUGAUUUCUAUCAGGCCACCGUUCACGUAGCUUAUCCGACGUGUCCUGAAAUUGAGAUAUGCGGCUCUUAUCGGGUUCGUCGACACUUCCGGAGGUCUUGCUGGACUUGUCUUACCUUAGCGAUAUAUCUAGCGCAUUGGGAUUCCGGUGAGACUUUGGUUCUUCUCAGAGUUGAGGUUUUCCUCUAAGGAAUCCGAAGAGAUCGCGAGUUUCAUGGUCGACGAUUACUAUGCUGCCCGUGGUAAUUUUGAUGGAUUAGUUGGAGGACCCCUGCACGGUUAAAUCUUUCUGAAAGUCGUGCCCGCGGUUAUGUGGCAACAUGGAUAUUUUGUUAACAUCCGGUUCUAGACGAUUUAAAGUAACUUAACUAAAACCUGCCAACUGUGUGCAUAACCGUGACUGUUUCUUUCAAAGCUCCUUCUCUGAUCGAGAACAUGGUGGGGUUAUGAAUGACGUAAGUAGGUGUUCAGGAUCACUUGGUGGUCAUUCCUAGAUCUCGACCGUCUUACGUAUUCCACCAUAACAUAUUUCUGAUCUUCGUAAGUUAGCCUCCAUAUAAGCUUAGGUUGCUGCAAACUCAAACACUUAACCCUACCUCACUCAUUAACUUAGUUAGACUCGAUACCAAGGUCAUGAGAAUAAUGAGUCCUUGUGGCUCACAGUUUACUACAACCACCCAUAGGUACAGGUACCCUAGAUGCAGACGUUCCUGAGGAUACCCAGCUGAGGUGGGAGUUCGACGAGGCCAGUGGAAGAUUAUACAUGACGUAUCCCGAGGAUUAGAGGCACUUUGUCGUGAUCGUGGGCCUAGCAAGGCGGGAUAGCAUUGCUUUUGUCGUUUAUCUUGUCCAUAGUCGGACCCUGCUUUCCAUUUGAAUAAUGUAUGACUGUGUGACUCUGUAAUUUAGCUUGUGGCGAGUGUAAGCCAAAUCUUAUUACUCUUCCAUCCAUUAUGUAUUGCGAUGUUUAUCCUGCUUGCGAAACACUUAGAUGCGCCCCUUUCCCCUUUUGAGGCCUCGCCCCCAAAUAAGGAAAGAGACGCAUCUUAGUCGUUACAAGUUGGUAAUCAGAGUCUUACGACCAUAGGAGCCUUUGAUUGAUCGAACUUGGCUAAGUCGAAUCUAGUGAAAAACUAUUUUGGUUCUUAGUUAUAUCGGAGAGUAGGAUUCUUUUUUCUCCUCUUCUAUGCUCUGGUGAGGUUCACGACUUAGGAAAUUUUAAUUCUACUCCUCUUCUCACUCAAAAAAAAUUAGGAUCGCGUGGAUAUUUUUGGAAUCUAUAUGAUACCAAAGUGAAAGAGUUCUGGCUUGGUGCCUCCUGCUGUGUUGAUUUUAUUCCGGGGAGUUGAGCUUCAGGGGAUUCUUGAGCACAUCGUUAUCAUUCAGAUUCCUUAGUAUCUCAGGAUGGAGUAUGUUCGGAAUUGCUUCAAUACUAGUAGUGGCGAGAGGAGUCUGGCUUCCCCAGUACUGGUGCAGAUAUGUCUGGAUGUAUCGCCAUACUUAGUAUCAUUGUGAUUACGAGGGUCUGAGAUAGAUGAGGUUCCGAGAUUUUGGUUAUGUGUUGACGAAUGUGAUACACUGGACGGGUUAGUAUAGGAGUUGAUUGAUGAUUUGUCCUUGUAUCUGUGGACCAGAUUGCAUGACCAGAAAUUUCAAAAGUUCUUAGGUGGGAAUUCCGUUAGCAACUUAGGAAUUCUUUCAUGAGAUGUAUGUUGGGUAUAUACAUUUGUUCCAAGCAAUCCUAGCUCAUACUUGAUAUUUACAAGUGGCUUCUCAAUCAGAUGUUGUUGACAGAUAUUUUGAGGAAUCAUUCUUACUAAUUAUAUUUCGAGUCCUAUUGCUAAGAAUUCUUGUUCAGAUAUUUUUGUCCAUUGAAUCAGCUUAAUCUUUGAAUUUUCAUCUCUGGUCUUACGUUGUUGUCCGUCUCCAGGAUGGCUCCACCAACUCGCCAAAAUCCGGGUCGUGAGAGUGCUGACCAUCCACCACCCCCUCCGCCACCGCCUCCUCCUCCAGAGUCAUGGCAAGCUGUGAUGGCGACAACCAAUGCAAACACUCAGAUGUUGCUUCAGUUGUUGCAAGAGAGGAACCAACAGCAUCAGGGUAAUUUCAACAAUGGUGGACAGCAGUUUGCAACUCUAAAUCAACUCCUGGCGAACCAGCCGAAGUCCUUCACUUCCUGUGACGAGCCAUUCAAUGCAGAUGACUAAAUUCGUGACAUGAACAAGCACUUAAAGUGCAGUAAUGUGCAACCAGAGGACUUUGUCAAGUUUGCAAUAUUUCAGCUCAAGGGGCAGGCAGCAGAAUGGUAGCAAUUGAAGGAUUCCACAGGCGACAAAGUGAUCAGUUGGGAUGAUUCCUGCAGGGAUUUCAGGGCUCACUAUAUUACAGCAAGUUUUGUGGAAGAGAUGCGUGAGAAAUUCAGACGCUUGAAGCAAGGAAGUUCGCCUGUGUACAAGUACAAUGUGGAGUUCCAGGAGCUGGCUCGUUAUGCUAAACAGGACAUUUCAUAUCAGAAGAGCAAGAUUUAUCAGUUCCGAGGUGCUCUGAAGGAAGACUCAGAGCUGGCCCUUGCCUUGCACGAUCCUCUCGAGUUCGGCCAGUUUUACAAUUUGGCUCUCAGGGCUGAGGCGGCUUUGCUCAAAGCUGAGAACUCAAGAAAGCGUUUUAGAGAUUCCAGUUCCUCGUCCUCAACUCAGGUGGUUUAGAAGCAACAGAAAUAUUGGGUGUCUCCUCCUCCUCGGCAGCCUCAGCAGUUCAAGCAGUCUAGUGCUCGUGGUUCUUCCCACCCAUCCAACCCAGCUUUCCAGCAGAAAUUUCAACAGCAGAAGGCAGGAAAUCCUGAAGUGCAAUUUCGUCUGCUGCUAGAGGUGACUUGUCACAGGUGUGGUCAUAAGGGUCAUUACUCUAACAAGUGCACCAACUAGCAGCGUCUCCCGCCUCCUCCUCCAGUCAAGCCUCUAGGCAAUGCUAUGGUGAAGUUUAAUCCCAGGUCAGCAAGGGUGAAUAUGGUGAAUGCAGCUCAAGCGUAGAACUCCUCAGAUGUGAUCAUGAGAAAUCUCUCAGUUAAUGAUAUUCCUACAAAGGUUUUGUUUGAUUCUGGUGCAUCUCAUUCAUUCAUGUCUAGACUGUUUGCAUGGAAACAUGAUUUCCUUUCAAAAACUUUGGAGAAACCUUUCUGUUUGGUUUCCCCGGGUAUAUUGAUGACUUCAAAUGUGGUGAUUCUGGAUGUCUUUGUCAAGAUGGGUAGCUAUUCCUUUCUGGCUUCUCCAGUUGUCCUUGGCGAGUCGGAUAUUGAUCUCAUCCUUGGCAUGGAUUGGCUGGUGAUGAACAAGUCCUAUAUUGAUUGUGAAGCCAAAGAAGUCAAGUUGACUCAUCCUUCAGAGGACGUGAUUAUCUUUGCUGCUCGCGAUGACAUGAUCCGUCUGUUUUCCCUCAAUAUGAAGGGUGAGAUCUCUCCCAUUUUUGAAGUUCCAGUGGUCUGUGAGUAUGAAGAUGUCUUUCCAGAAGAAUUGCCAGAAAUGCAUCAGCACCGACCAGUGGAGUUUGUAAUUGAGCUUGAACCUGGAACUGAACUGGUCUGCAAGCGGCUGUACAAACUUGGUCCCGAAGAGUUGAAGAAGCAGCUUGAUGAGCAAGAACGUUUGGGCCUGAAAACACCAAGUUCAUCUCCUUGGUGUUGUGGUGUUCUGUUUGUCAAGAAGAAGGAUGGCACGGACUGACUCUGUAUCGAUUACCGUCCAUUGAACAAUAAGGCAAUCAAAAACAAGUAUCCAUUUCGCAACAUCAAUGAAUUGUUUGAGCAAUUGAAAGGAGCCAAGAUUUUCUCUAAGCUUGAUCUUCGAAUGGGCUAUCAUCACAUCCGCAUUCACGAAGAACAUAUUCCGAAGACUGCUUUCAAGACAAGCUUUGGCUCUUAUGAGUACACACUGAUAUCUUUUGGUCUUGCCAAUGCUCCUCCGACCUUCUCUCGGAUGAUGAAUUAUAUCUUCUCCCCAUUCAAGAAUGAAUUUGUCUUGGUGUAUCUUGAUGACAGUUUGGUCUUUUCUGAAACUGAGGAAGAGCAUGAAUAACAUCUCCGGCUUGUGCUUGAUAAGCUAAGAGAGCAUAAGUUUUAUGCUAAGUUUUCCAAAUGUGAAUUCUGGUUGAAGGAAGUUGUGUACCUUGGGCACAUCAUCUCUGCCGAGGGCACCAAAGUUGAUCCUACAAAGGUGAAGGCCAUUGUCGAGUGGGAACCUCCUCAGAAUGUGAUGCAGCUUCAAAGCUUUCUCGGGCUUGCAAGCUAUUGCAGAAGGUUCGUUGAGAACUUCACCAAGAUUGCUAAGCCUCUAUCCAACCUUCUUCAGAAGAGUGUGAAGUUUGUCUGGUCUCCACAGGGUCAAUCGGCUUUCGAUACACUCAAAGAGAAGCUCACUUAAACUCCAGUCUUGACUCCUACUGAUGAUUCCAAGCCUUAUCAAGUGUUCUGUGAUGCCUCUCUUCAUGGUCUUGGUGCAGUUCUGAUGCAAGAUAAGAAAGUGGUAGCUUAUACCUCGACGCAGUUGAAGCCAAGUGACAAGAACUAUCCCACUCAUGAUCUUGAGUUGGCGGCAGUGGUCCAUGCCUUGAUGACUUGGAGACACCUUUUGUUCGGCAGACAGGUUGAAGUCUACAUUGAUCACAAGAGUCUCAAAUACAUCGUCACCUAACCUAGUCUCAAUCUUUGCCAAACUCGUUGGGUGGAAAUGAUCCAAGAUUAUAAUCCGAGCAUUGACUUCACUCCAGGCAAAGGAAAUGUCAUUGCAGAUGCUUUGAGCAGAAAGGCUUACUGCAACAGUCUCAUUCUGAAGCCUCCCAGCCUGAUUUUUGUGAAUCUUUCAGGAAGCUCAACCUUCAAAUAGUACCUCAGGGAUUUCUUGCUAAUCUCCAGAUUUCUCCUACCUUGGAAGACCAAGUCCGACAAGCUCAACUUCUUGAUGCGAUGGUGAAGAAAGUUAAGAUUGGCUUGGCAAAGAGCAUUCCAAAAUAUAAGUUAUUCCGUGUUGAUGACAGAGUUACCUUGUUCUUCGAGGACUGCCUUGUUGUUCCGAAAGGGGAGCUCGGGAAACUUAUCAUGGAUGAAGCCCAUAAUUCCCUCCUCUCGAUACAUCCAGGAAGCUCCAAAAUGUAUCAGGAUCUGAAGCAGACCUUCUGGUGGACUCACAUGAAACGUGAAAUUGCUCAGUUCGUGAACGAGUGUGACGUGUGUCGUAGAGUGAAGGCGGAGCAUCAACGUCCAGCAGGCCUCCUUCAUCCCUUACAUAUAGCCGAGUGGAAAUUCGAUCAUGUGGAAAUGGAUUUGUCACUGGGUUUCAGAAGUCCGAGAGAGGCAACGAUGCCAUCUUUGUCAUCAUCGACAAGUUGACCAAAGUUGCUCAUUUCCUCCCGAUCAAAGAGUCUAUCACGACAGCUCAGCUUGCAGAGUUGUAUACGUCAAGGAUAGCCUCAUUGCACGGUGUUCCUAUGCGCAUUUCUUCAGAUCGUGGAAGCAUCUUUACUUCCAAGUUCUGGGAUUCCUUUCAGACUGCGAUGGGUACUAAGAUCUGUUUCAGUACAACUUUCCAUCCUCAUACAAGUAGUCAAGUUGAGAGAGUCAAUCAGAUCCUUGAAGAUAUGCUCAGAGCUUGUGUGAUUUCUUUUGGCAUGAAGUGGGAAGAUUGCCUACUAUUUGCUGAGUUCUCAUACAACAACAGCUUUCAAGCAAGCUCAGGCAAGGCUCCAUUCGAGAUUCUAUAUGGCAGGAAGUGUCGUACCCCGCUCAAUUGGUCAGAGAUUGGUGAGCGUCAGAUUCCUGGGAAUGACAUGAUUGCUGAAGCAGAAGAAAUGUAAUGUGUCAUUCGGGAUAAUCUCAAAGCAGCUCAGUCCCGUCAGAAGAGCUACUAUGAUAGCAAACAUCAUGACACGACUUUUCAGCUCGAUGAUUUUGUGUAUCUCAAAGUGUCUCCCAUGAAGGGUACUCGGUGCUUUGCCAUCAAAGGAAAGCUUGCCCCUCGCUUUGUUGGUCCUUUCAAAGUUGUUGGCAAGAGAGGUGACCUUGCAUAUCAGUUAGAGCUUUCAUCCAACUUUUCCAAUGUGCAUGAUGUGUUCCACGUCUCUCAGUUCCGGAGACGCUUCAAGACUCCCGAGCGCACAGUUGAUCUCCAGGAUAUCAAUCUCCAGCCCGACCUGUCCUGCCAUGAACAUCCUAUAGCCAUUCUUGAAGAGACUGAGCGCAAGACCCGCAAUAAGUCAAUCAAGUUCCUCAAAGUGCAACGGUCACAUCAUUCAGACAAAGAAGCUACUUGGGAGCGCGAGGACCACCUCUUGUAGUGUGGGAGAGUUGUGACAGCCCCAAUGCAAUUCUUCCACCACCCCUUGUAAUCUUUCCUUGUAAGGCAACCAUGUGAUGUUAUGUCAAGUGGGUUGAGCUCAUUGGUGUCUUCAUUUCAUGUGCAUCAUGGCAUCAUCAUUCAUCUUUGUUUUGUGUUGCACCCUUAGUGAUUGAAAGUGGAGUGUUAUGUGAGUGUGGCAUGUGAUUGUGUCUGAUGGGGACCAACUAUCUUAUCUUCUCAAAACCCUUGUUGCACCAAAAGUCUUGCAAAACCCCUUCUCUCCUCUCUUAUUUUCUUUGAGGCAGUUUUAAAAGUUUCUGUUUUGGGUGAAAUAAAAUGUUCAUCUCUCCCCUCUGGUUUUAGUUUUGUUUUCCCUGUUUCUUUUAUUUUAAAACAGUGUCUUAUACAAAUAAAAGUCUUUAAAUUUUACUCUCCAAAAAUGCCCAAUUUAUUUUCAUAAAUUGGUGCAUGAUUUUAGAAGCCCAGGUAUAUUUUUAUUUUGUUUUAUUCCUUUCUUUUGCCUGUGGCAUUUUUUCAAACAUGCUUCUCUUUUAUUUGCGAAGGGCUUUUUUUCUAGAGAGAGAGGUCCAGGCCCAUUGCAAUAGUUUUGGCCCAGCCAGCCCAGGGCGUGACCCUCUUCUUCCUCGCGCCGUCACCUUCGUACGAUGCCAGGGAGAGCCGCCAGAUCGUGUCUUCUCCCUGAUCGACGGUCGUGCCUCGGUAUGCAAGCUAUUUAGCCUUCCCCUUCCCGUCUCCUUGCCCUAGCCUCUCUUCUCCCCCUCUCUUCUCCCUCUCGUGCUGUCAGGAAGAAGUAGAGCGUAGCCGUCACCAUGGACAGCUCCCGCUCGAGCUCGACGCUAGUGUAGCGUCGCCUUCCCUCCUUCCCUGUUUUGUCCAGGAGCAAGCGGUGCCCGGCACGGUUCCAUUUUCGUGAAGAUCCGGCGACGAGGACUACGUCCCUGACGUCCACGAUUGUCGGCUCCUUCCUCUUCUCUCCGGUUAUCUCUUUUGCAGAGAACCUCGACGUCGCGUGUUCCUACCCUGCGUCGGCUCUUCUUUCCGUCCCUAGGUGAGUGUAGUCUAUUCCUCUCCGCUCCCCUCUUCGGUAGUAGCCUUCGUAGUUGUGCCGCAUCCGUAGUCGUGUCGGAGUUGCACCGGCAGGUAGUAGCUUGCAGCGGCAGCAAUAGGUGGUAGCUUGUAGCAACAGCAAUAGGUAGUAGCUUGCGGCAACAGCAGUAUGUAGUAGCUUGCAUCAGCAGCAGCCGUAGUUCGUAGCGCAGCAGCAGAUCGGUAGGCAGCGGUGGCAGUUGCAGAUCAUAGAAGCGGCAGCACGUCGUCAGCCCUCCUCUGCUUUCGAAGAGAGGACGCCCGGGGUUUUUCACCUCGGUUAGACCCCCUUACGAGCAGAUGCACUGCCCUAGCCUGACCGGUAUGAUGCAAGCGCAAUGACGUGAGGUCUUGGGUUCGAUCCAUGCUCCCCCCCCCCUUCGCGUGGUAGUGUGGAGAGCAGAGCAGGUUCAUUCUGCUUGCUGCUCUGAUUAGAGCAGGUGUGCGUCGAUGGCGCAGUGGCAACCGAACCAUCUCUCGUGCAGCAGGUGGUGGGUUCGAGUCCCCCUUCCGCCUCUUUUAUUCUGUUGGGAUUUUUCCCUAUUAGUUCCUCUUUUAUUCUGUUGGGAUUUUUCCCUCCUGUUAGGGAGGCACAGCCCGAUUAGUUCCUCUUUUAUUCUGUUGGGAUUUUUCCCUCCUGUUAGGGAGGCACAGCCCGAUUAGUUCCUCUUUUAUUCUGUUGGGAUUUUUCCCUCUUGUUAGGGAGGCACAGCCCGAUUAGUUCCUCUUUUAUUCUGUUGGGAUUUUUCCCUCCUGUUAGGGAGGCACAGCCCGAUUAGUUCCUCUUUUAUUCUGUUGGGAUUUUUCCCUCCUGUUAGGGAGGCACAGCCCGAUUAGUUCCUCUUUUAUUCUGUUGGGAUUUUUCCCUCCUGUUAGGGAGGCACAGCCCGAUUAGUUCCUCUUUUAUUCUGUUGGGAUUUUUCCCUCCUGUUAGGGAGGCACAGCCCGAUUAGUUCCUCUUUUAUUCUGUUGGGAUUUUUCCCUCCUGUUAGGGAGGCACAGCCCGAUUAGUUCCUCUUUUAUUCUGUUGGGAUUUUUCCCUCCUGUUAGGGAGGCACAGCCCGAUUAGUUGUUGUGCUUCCCCUGUUAGUGCAGAUAGCAUGCGGUAGCCGAGUGGCACGGUGUGGUGUGUGGGGGUGAGGUGGAGGGUUCGAUCCCCACCAAGCCCAUUUUCCCCUUUUCCAUUUUUUAGCUGUGUGUGUGGUGUGUGACAGGUGGGUCGACCACAUGUGAUAUGCUAAGGGCUCCUGGUCCCUAUGACCAGUGGGCCCCCAUGUCAUUUCGUGUGCUUAUUUAUUAUUUUCUUUUGUUUGUGAUGUAUUUCCAAAUCUGGAAUAUUUCCAGAAGAGGAAUAUACCCAAUUGGACAGGUUCAAGAAGAGCUCUUGUUCUGGACCAUAGGAGAGUUUGAUCAUGUGUAGUAUUUCUUUUGAUGUUUGUGAUGUUUUUCUGCAUGCAUAUAUAGCAGUAUGGUAUAUGGUUUUGGGGUAGAAAACCCCAAAGAAUCCAAUGGUGGCACUGGAUUUCAGAGUUGAGGAGUUGUGCAAAAUUGUCAUUUUGUGAUGAGUGGCACUUGGUUAUAUGUGUAGGAUUGUUUAUGUGCAUAUUUAGGGGUUGUGCAUCCAUGCAUCAUAUUGAUUGUUGCAUUAUCAAUUGCUGAUGUUUAUUGUUGUUUGUUUCUUUUGGGUAGCUAUUGGGUCCGGAAACGAGUUCGAGGAGUCCGGUGAGUUCGUGCAGGAAGAUCAGGAACAGUUCCACUCUGAAGAUAUCACAGGCAAGAUGAUUGUGACAUUGACACUGUUUCUAGAUUUGUUAUGCUUAGUGAUUCGUUUCCAUCAUUAUAUCUCCGAUGUAUACCACCUCAUAUAUAGGCCAUCAAACAUUGCCAUGAAACCUCAAACACGUACCCUCCUAGCAAAUAUUGUUUGGCGAAGUUAGGCUUGUUCAACCUUUAUUAUUAGCAUUGCUAGUUGCAGGUGCAAGCUGGUCCAUGUGAUAACAUGGGCAUUUGAAAUCAUCCUUAUUAAUUUUCUAUUUAAUUAAUGCACCUAUAUAGUUGGUAAAUAGUGGAAGGCCUAGCCUGUUGCCGGGUGAUUUGUUCCGCUGUUGCCGCCUUAGUUUCGGCUACCGGUGUUUUAUUUCUUAAGUGAGCGCUCCUAACACGUUCGGGGUUGUUAUGGGGACCCCCUUGGUAAAUCGUUUAGUGUUAAGGCUUGUCUGGCAAGACCCAACUUUGGUGUUAAUUUUCUAACAACUUAAUAAAAAACAUAGGGAGUAGCUACCCCGAGGAAUCUAAUCAAGCCCCCCCCCCCACGGCCAGUGCUCCUCAUGAGUGUUGGUCCAAACUAGAGCACUGUGCGGGGCCAACCCAGGGCAUCUUCGGUAUUUUCUACCAGGCCACCUUACGCGUAGCUUAUCCGACGUGUCCUUUGACUGAGACACGCGGCUCUUAUCGGGUUCGUCGACACGUCGAGAGGUCUUGCUGGACUUGUCUUACCUUAGCGAUAUAUCUUGUGCAUUGGGAUUCCGGUGAGACUUUGGUUCUUCUCAGAGUUGAGGUUUUACUUUAAGGAAUCCGACGAGAUCGCGAGUUUCGUGGUCGAGGAUUACUAUGCAGCCCGUGGUAAUUUGUGAUGGAUUAGUUGGAGCCCCCCUGCAGGGUUAAAUCUUUUGGAAAGUCGUGCCCAUGGUUAUGUGGCAACAUGGAUAUUUUGUUAACAUUCGGUUCUAUACAAUCUAAAGUAACUUAACUAAAAUCUGCCAACUGUGUGCGUAACUGUGACUGUUUCUUUUAGAGCUCCUUCUCUGAUCGAGAACACGGUGGGGUUAUGAAUGACGUAAGUAGGUAUUCAGGAUCACUUAGUGAUCUUAGAUCUCGAUCGUCUUACAUAGUCCACCAUAACAUAUUUCUGAUCUUCGUAAGUUAGCCUCCAUAUAAGCUUACGUUGCUGCAAACUCAAACACUUAACCCUACCUCACUCAUUAACUUAGUUAGACUCGAUACCAAAGUCAUGAGAUUGUUGAGUCAUCGUGACUCACAGUUUACUACAACCACCCAGAGGUACAGGUACCCUAGAUGCAGACGUUCCCGGAGAUACCCAGCUGAGGUGGGAGUUCGACGAGGCAGUGGCAGACUGUACGUGACAUAUCCCAAGGAUUAUAGGCACUUGGUCGUGAUCGUGGGCCUAGCAAUAUGGGAUAGCAUUGCUUUUGUCGUUUAUCUUGUCCGUAGUCGGACCCUGCUUUCCAUUUGAAUAAUGUACGACUGUGUGACUCUGUAAUUUAGCUUGUGGUGAGUGUAAGCCAAAUCCUAUUACUCUUCCAUCCAUUAUGUAUUGCGAUGUUUAUCCUAUUUGUGAAACACUUAGAUGCACCCCUUUCCCCUUUUGAGGCCUCGCCCUCAAAUAAGGAAAGAGCCGCAUCUUAGUCGUUACAAUCACAUACCUCUUUGAAGGUUUCAACGCAAUUCCAUUGUAAGUUCUAACAUCCGUGUAAGACAUGGCGCCUUUGACAACCAUUGUUUUUUUGUGUGAUAGCCAAGUCCAUCUGGUUGGAAGUCACAAUAAGUUAGAGACCUAGCACUUGUAUGAGAUCUGUUAGCUACGAACAACUCCAUUAAUAUUGUUCUCUGCAGCCAUGCAUCGUCAGCAACCGGAUUUGGGUUUUCUUAACAUUGAAACGCGCUAUGUGUUUAUUCAAUAGAUGAAUGGGCAAUCUUUUAAGACAAGGCAUUUUACUGUGUAUAUCAAAGCCAUAUAUUCUCCAACAACCAUCUUCAUCACAUAUGUAGCGGCAUUCUCUAUAUUACAUGAUCCCUUCAAUCUCAAUACUAUGCUUUCAAACGACGUUUUCAAAAAAUCAGGGCCCUUCGUAACAUACCUAUAAAGAUACUUGAUCACAUGGGUUCUAUUGCACCACUCAACGUUAAUGUGCGCCUAGUAUUAUUUUUAGCAUGAGCAAGUUAUAAGGAACAACAUGCCUAUUAUUAAGCCUAACCUUCUUUUUAACUAUAAAACGAUCGUUGUCUAGGCGACUAUACAUAGGGAAUCCACUAUCUACAAAGAUUUCGAGCUUGAAUGACUUGCGAAAAAAAUUGAACACAAUCUAUAUUUCAUGCAGGGACAUUUAUUAUUAUCCUCCCCACCACAGGUGUCACUAUAGGAAUCAACUAAUUUACCGUCAGUGGGAAACAAACGGCAAAUGCAUGAAAAUAGAGGACGGAUUAUUUCUCGUCUAGCUGAUGGCAAAGUUAGUUGGCAAAUCGUAAAUUGGAAAAGUGAUCUCUUUGUCGUGUGUAAAUAGAAAAGCACACGCCAAAGCCUAUUUUGCCGUGUGUAAAUAAAAACACGACAAAUCCUAUUUUAUCGUCUAUCUUGAUGAGAAGCUGACGACAAAGACCUCCAUGGAGGGUAAAUCAGCUGAUUAUUAUAGUGUGUGUAUCAUGUGUUCAAAAACAAGAACAUAUCCAAAAGGAUCCGCAACAGGUUCAGGGAUGGCAGUCGAUAUAAAAGAGUCAAUUAAAGUAGGACUAACCUCUCGUUUCUUCCUAUCAAGCCAGACUAAGAUAUGGGCAUGAGGAAGCCCUAUUUUCUAACACUCCACUGUGUGUAGCACUAUGAAUAAAUAAAAAAAUAAGAUUCAAAACGAGCUAGGAGGGAAAAGAAUUAAAGAAACAAAAUGGGAGCAAUCGCAAAGCAUGUAUUACUAGCCACGGCAGAGCCAAAUGCCUCCCCACUCUUAAUAUCAUGAAAAUAGUCACUGAGCUUCCCUAACUGGAAGAUCUGCCCUAUCCAAAGGCAUUUGCCCAGGCUCAUAACAGAGGGCUUCAAUUACUUCAGCCACUUGGGAUUACAGGUAAAGGUGGUGAAAAGGUCUAGUGGACCGAACACACGCGAAAUAGCCACUACAUCUUGGAAGUUCUCAACCAUAUAACGCCAGCCAUCGAUAAAAGAGGAUAGAAUUAUGUUUUUCUUGCCAAGAGAACUUGCAUCUGUCUACCCUUUUCCAACAGCAUCACUGUUCUCCGCUCUAAGACCAUUAUUAGCCUUCAUGAUAAAAUGCAGCCUCCACUCAUCUAUGCAUGCGCGUGCAUCUACAAUAGUCUAUGAGGAAAGCAAACCAUAGCAAAGGUAUGGAUUAUGCUGCUCUGGUCUACAGUGGAGGCAAUAGGAAUAACAGUCCUGCAUGGUGAGCCUGGUGAUUUUGCUCGUAUCUAAAGGGUGAACCAAUAUAUUUAAGCCAAAGUUGAAACGCAUGCUCCGCAUAGCAGAAGAGAAGAGAAUACUGCAAAGGCAUAUAUGAAGUUUGCAAAGAACAUAUUUGUUGCGUAUUGUCAUCUCUACCAUGUAUUAGUAUGUCACAACAAGAAGCCUCCAACGCAAACUCACCAAACAUUAAAGAUGCUAGCUUGUCGGUCGUUGGAAGGCUAAAGUGUGGACUAUCAGAUUCUCCAGGGGCAACUAAACGAACGCCUAUCUCAGCAUGAUUAUUGGCUUCUAGUAUUUCUCUAGAUCAUCGAAAUGUUUUGACAAAAAGAACUAUGUGUAUCAAGCAUGUGCAUCAAGCCUUCAACACUAGAUUCAUCUAAAGCACCAUUACCAUUUUCACCCUUGUCUAAAUCCUAAAUCUUGUUCUUUAUCUCAUUCUGGGUAACAUAUAUAUAGAGUUUAGCAUAGUUUGGGGUGUUUCCUUCCUUAGGCAUAAGAGACUCCAUUCGAUGACAAACCUCACAAUUUAUUUUGUAUAUAUUUGGGUCAUUUACAUCAUUCACCGAACAGUCAACGGUAGUUCCCAUGGAAAUAAAUGCAAAGAGGCAGUUGUAUUGGUGUAAUUUUUUAUAAACUCUUUGCUACGUGGGAGGCCAUUGUAUCUCAGCAACUCAAAUAGAAACAAGGGCAACUUUUUAGAAGGUGUAAUAUACACCUUACCACCCUUGCAACAUGUGUUGUAAACUACCCGCCUUAGUGUGAUUGCGGACUCCGACUUCACCCACUCAUCGAACUAGAAGACUGUACCACACCUGGGACAUCUGUAGUCUAGAAAGAUCUCUUUUGGUACCCAACUGCAAAUUUAUUUUGCCUCGGUAACAAUAGUGGAUAAGCAACGCAUCAUAGGAGAAUUUGCAUGCAUAUCGGUAGGGGGCAUACCUUUCAGCAUCUUGGACUCCUCGGGCGUGAAUACAAUCCAGUCAGUGCCUAAGGGUGAUCCAAUGGCAGGCUCAUUUCCCCUAAGUCUAUCGACAAUCGCCCUGCAUCUCUUUCUAUUACAGGCCAUAAUUUCUGGAGUAAGAACGGGCAAGAAACCAUCGUCUACAAAAAUAGAGGCCAUGUCAUAGGCAGGAAUAGGAAUCACGAGCGCAUAAGAGGCACAUCCAUAAAACAAAAGAAACCUAUUUCAGAAGAGGAUCUCGUACAUUUUAUUUUGGGUAGGCCUAAGGAUAUGUAAGGCGACAACGGGUCAAAGAAAGAUUGUUUCCGCCGAACAAAAGGUGGAUGAUGGCUACUUGAAGCAGCAUUAAGACUAACAGAACGAUGCAGAGGCAUGAUAGUCAGAGGAACGACAUGAAGAAUAACCACAGCACACUGCAACAGAAAUAUAAAACCAUGAAUGAAACAAAGAAGCGAAGUCAAACAGUGGCAGACACAUAGAAGGAAAAAACAAAGAAGAAGCGCGGCAGGAUGCACAUUCCACCUUCUAAAAAUACCUGAUCUAAAACCGAGAAAUAUCUUUUUAUCCACAGAGCUAGUAAAAAGCAUCUGAAAAAACCAAACUGAGAAACAAAACCUAAGAUGUGAAACCUUGGAUUUUGGAAAACCGAUAAAAACAACACUUUAUUUUCUAACAGAAGGAGACACAAUCUAAUCAGGUAGACAAAAUAGCAAGAGGACAUAGAACCAGACCAAAAAGCAAAAUCCAAGAAACAAUAUCCUAUAAAGGGCAUGGAAUUGACAUUUUUGACUACAAUGAAAGGAAGAGGCAACCCAAAAAUACACCUACGGGAAAAGAACAAGAAUCAUUUUUUGACUGCAAUGAAAGAAAGGGGCAUCCCAAAAAUACACCUAAGACAAAAGCACAAGAAUCAUUUUUUGGGAGAAGUUUAAGAAAAGAAGGGGGAAAUACAAAGGAGGUAGAAAAGGCCCAUCAAGCAAAAUCGAAGAAACAUGCUUUUAAAAGCCCAAGAAGAAUCAAACCAUAACACCAAAGGCAUAAGUUCCUAUGAAGCCCAUGCUAGUUUUUUUCUAUAAGACAGGGGGAAGCCCAAAGGCCGAAGACCCAACCGAAGAAGAACUGAUAAACAAGCAAGGCAUCUAUUAUAGGGGCACGUGUGGGAAGGACGUUGAAUUUGAAGUGGAAGGUUGACCUUUUUAAUUCCGUAAAAUGUAGAAGGUAGCAAGGCCCAAAGGCCAGGUAUAUGAACUAUAAAAAGACUAAAGGUAUCAUCCCAUCCAAUACAAAGCAUGCAUGCAGACCUAAAUAAGAAACCAAGAAAAGAUAGCUAAAGAGACCGAAGAGAGGAAAACACAUGCGAGUGUAGUAGGCCCCAAUCAUUUAUCUCUGUGUUCGUAGAGGGAUAGCCCAAGCGAAAUAGCUCCCUCUCCAAGUGUCCAACGUGUCGAGUGGCAGAGACUGCAACUAUUAUGGAAGAACAAAGUGAGCUCCUAUAGGACAAAAUACAGUCAUAAUUAUAGCCUAGAACUACAAACACAUACAGACGCUGCAAAAAACUUAUGGCCUCAAGGGAAGCCUAUUCAUAGGCAUGGACAAAACUAUUAGAUUGAUCUCUGACCGCGUGGGCCCAACGGCCCACCGGGCCUUGAUCUAUGCGCCCUGAUCGGGGGCGCCCAACCCAUUAUGGUUGGUGGGCCCCUGUGACCCGCGCUAUAUAAAGGAAGGUGGGAUGCCGGGGCACGAACUACGAGAUUCGCUGCUGUCACACCCCUACCGACAUACCUAUCCGAUCUAGGUUAAGCGCGGUGCUCACGGAAAGCUCCACCCACGCCUAACCCUCUUUCUCCGUCAUCGCCGUCGCUACCGCACCGAUGGAGACCGUGGGAGCUCAUCCAGCUCAGGACAAGGUAAACCUACGGGCACUACUGUUGGCAAUAAGCCACGGUGAGCGCAGCCUGCAUGCUUGCGGGCGUGAGCUGGCCGCGUCGGGUCCGUGGCAGGUGUCCCUGUGUGUGUGUCUGGGCAUAGGCUGGUUAGUGUACGACUUGCCGGAUGGUCUGGCCAUAGUCCGUGUAUAGUCCGGCUAAUUUACAGGCUGUGUGCGUGCGUGAGUGCGUGUGUCUGUUAGCUAGAUAGCCAAGGAUGUGACCGCGUCGCCCGCACUGGAAACGGCCGCGUUGUUCGCGUUGGAGCGCGACGGGUGCGCUGGCUGGGAGUGCGAGACGUGGAGAGCGAGUCUCGUGGUGGAGUUCGUGGCUCCAUGCACGAGGGCGGACAACUCGGCAGGAGAACGCGUACGUGCGCGUAGAGCUCGCUGGAGUUGGUUUCGUAGGUGUUGCGUCUCUGUGAGGCUAUAAGUGAUGAUGUACUGCUCUUGUGUGUGAUGUGGGUUGAGUUCGAGCUCAAAGAAAAACGUUGUUGUUGCGGCAGGCGUUCGUGCGCCAAGGAAAACCACCGUGUCCUGUUCCUUCUUCUUCCCUCCUUCCUCCUCGGUACGAGCCAGAGAGAGAGAAGUGUGCAGAGAGACAGAGAGAGGUAGAGCUAGGACAAGGGCUCGGUUCCAACAACUACCGUGACUCAUCUACCCUAGUCGAUCCGCAGGAUCUAUCAAUGGUAUCUUGAGCCACUAGGGUAAGAUGUGUUUCGGUCAAAGAAACCAAAGAGAAAAAAAUUCCCUCCCCAGAAGCACCGAAGAUGGCCUCGGGCCUCAUCGGAAAAGAAGCGCCGCCGCAAGGCCGCGCCUGUUCCUCUCGAUCCCCACACGCAUCGGCAAGCCGAGGUGUGGGGAAGAAGAACCUACCUCCUCGGAGGCUAAAGAACGGAUCAAGAUCCAACAAGAAAACAAAGAAAGUAAACGGAUCCGAUCCGGAAAAGGCAAAAAAGGGGAGAGGAACAUGCAAAGACACGGCAUAGGCCGAAGGAAAAAGAAAAGGGCGCCGCAAACACGUCGUUCGACGGCGGUGCGCUUCCGCCAAGGGAAACGCACCACCGGCGAAGGGGUGGUCACGGCGCCAUAGGCCUAAGGCCGCGGGACAAAGCAACAUGGCCAUGGAGCACCCUCUUGGCAGGGACAAAGGCACCCCUAACACACCACUUGACGGCGGCGCGCUCUCCCUCGGGAGAGGGCGCGCACCGGCAAGGGGAGUGAAGGGGGCCACCGCUGAAAUGAAAAGACAAUCGGCCGUGUGGGAGCUUAGCCCCACGCCGGCGGCCAGAUCUAGCCACUCCCCGGGGGGCUGCAAGCCGCCGCGCGAGGGAAGGAAGGCGGGGCCCCAGAGAGGCAUCCUCGGCGGGGCAUCGAUGCAGCCGCGCGUGGGAAGCCCUCGGCCGCCCCAAGAAUCUUUUCGGCCUGCACCGGCCGCAAGGAAGAGGCCGAAGGCCAGAGGCGAGCGACGUGAGCUCCCCCCCCCCUCCAAAGCAACUCGCGGGAGGGAGGACCUUCGCCGCGCUCGACAGGAGGGUGUUAGACCUCACCGCCGGCGGCCGGCUCCUUUCCUGGCCACGGGCUGCUCGGGAGAGAAGGGGCGGGCGCCAGAGAAACGAGAAGCGAGCGGCUGAGGGGGCAAAUGGAGUUAGGGUUUCGGCAGGGGAUGGGCUCUAGCCCUUUUUGUUUCGCCGAAAGCUAUGCCUGACCGUAGGAUCUCAUCCGNNNNNNNNNNNGGGUUUUUUAGUUUCUGUCUAUUAAGGCAGAUUCAAAGUUUUUUUUUCUAGGAAUUUUUUCCUACGAAAACAUGAUUAGAAAAAGAAAAAGGAAAUGUUGAAAGUUUCUGACAAUUUACACAGAAUUGUAAUAUUAUUUUUCUGAAAAGAAAAAUAAAAGGGUUUCUGAAAAUAAAAUAGUUUUUCAGAAAAAGAACGUUCAUGAUCUUUAUAAAAGCAUUAAUAAAGAUCACGAGUUUUAUAUAAAAUAACAGAAUUAUUUUCUGUAAAAUUAAAAGGCAUAUGAAAUUUUAAACUCACGUUUUCCGCUGCUAAGUAAAAUAUGAAAUGUGGUCAUGCUAUUAUUCUCACCAACGUUGUUUAGUAACAUGAUCAUGUUGCAUAUUGCAAAAGAUGCAUUUAUUUCUAUCAGUUGCCCAACGGUAAUGUACAUUAAUUUGCAUAGGCAAUUGUAUGAUUACUUUAACCAACGUUAUUUAAUUCAUAUAAUUGUCGUACUGACUUUGCUUAUAUGGUGAUUUCAGGAGGUUUUCAUCUGAUGAGUUGCCUCAAGGACGUUCCUACACUCAUAGGGGAUAAUUACUCUGAGUGGAGGAAGAAGGUUGACAUGGCUUUGUGCAUUGCUGAGGUGGACUGGGUUCUGGAGGAACCACAGCCAGCUGCUCCCUCAGAACCAGACAGAGAUGCUGACGAGGAUGAUGAGAGUUGGGAGAAAAAGCAAUGGGAUUGUGGCAAAGAGGAGAUGUCCUACUUCAUACGUAACAGGUUAUGGAUAAAUGCCAACAACAAAUGUUUGGCAUUUAUUAAGAACACCAUUGAGACCACCAUUGUGGGCUCAAUAGCAGAGUGCCCUACUGCAAAGGAGAUGUUCAACAAGAUAAAGAGUCAGUUUACUGGCUCUUCUAAGACCUAUGUCAUCCAGUUGAUCAAACAACUGGUGACAGAGAGCUACAAUGGAGGUGGCCAUGGCAUAAGGGAGCACAUCCUUAGGAUGAGCAACACGGCAGCCAAGCUUAAGCCCAUGAUGUGAAUCUGGAGAUCAAACCAGCUCUCCUUGUCCACCUGGUCAUGGCUUCGCUGCCUAAAGAAUUUGAGACCUUUGUAGUAAACUACAACAUGCAACCUGAGACAUGGGAUAUAGAAAAGGUCAUCGCAAUGUGCUCACAAGAAGAGGAGAGGAUCAAGGCUUCACAUGGUGGCUCCCUUAACUAUGUAAAGAAAAAGAAAAAGGUUUUCCCACCUAACAAAGGUUCUCCCUCAAAGCCACAGGGCAAAGUUCAAGGCAAGACUCCCGCUCAUUAUCAGCCAAAGCCAAUAACAGUAGACAAGGACACUUGUAUGUACUGCAAGGAAAAAGGGCACUACAAGAAGGAUUGUGCUGCUUGGCUAAAGAUCUUCAUGGUAAAGAGAGGUAAAUAUAUUGUUUCCCUAGUAAAUGAAUCUCUGUAUGUAAAGUUUUGAAAAUCUACUUGGUGGAUUGACGCAGGUGCAACAUUUCAUGUUGCAAACUCUUUACAGGGGUUCAGUUCGAUGAGGACCAUGUGCCAAAAAGAAAGAAGUAUUGAAGUCGCAAAUGGUGUCCAAGCAGAAGUUGAAGCUGUAGAUGACGUCUCCUUGGAGCUAACCGAAGGAUUCAAGCUUUUGCUUAGAGAUGUACUUUUUGUGCCUUCAUGUAAUAGGAACUUAAUAAGUGUUUCAUGCUUAGACAAAGACAAUUAUCAAUGUGUUUUUGGACAUGGUAAAUGUACCGUUUGGUACAAUAAUGAUUAUGUAGGCAAUGGCUUUCUUCAUGAUGUGCUUUAUUUGUUAUCAAUUCAUGACAAAGUGAAUUAUGCAAAUAAUGUGAAUGUUCAAAGUUCUUCGUCGAACAAUGAACAAAAGAAAAGAAAGAGAACUCACGACCUCUCGAAACUAUGGCACUGUCGAUUGGGCCAUAUUUCCAGGGGGAGAAUAGAAAGAUUAAUCAAAAGCGAAAUUCUUCCAAAAUUGGAGUUCUCUGACUUAGAACAAUGCGUAGAUAGCAUUAAAGGAAAAAAUGUAAAACAGAUAAAGAAAGGUGCAAACCGAAGCACAGGAACACUGGAAAUUAUCCACACUGAUAUUUGUGGACCGUUUCCGGUGAAAAGUGUGGAUGGUUAUGAUUCAUUCAUAACAUUCACAGACGAUUACUCCCGCUUAGGUUACAUUUAUCCAAUCAAAGAAAUAAAUGAGGCAUUGGAUAAAUCCAAGAUAUUCAAAGUUGAAGUUGAAAAUCAGCUUGACAAAAAGAUUAAGAUUGUGAGGUCAGACCGUGGGGGGAGUACUAUGGUCGACACACACCAUAUGGCCAAGUCCCUGGACCUUUUGCAAAGUUCUUGAAGGAGACUGGCAUUGUCGCCCAGUAUUCAAUGCCGGGCGAGCCUCAGCAAAAUGGAGUAGCUGAAAGGCGCAACCGUACCCUCAUGGAUAUGGUGUGCAGCAUGAUGAGCUACUCCGACAUGCCAUUGGGAUUGUGGAUGGAGGCGCUUAAAACCGCCAUUCACAUUCUCAACGGAGUACCAAGCAAGUCGGUGCCCAAAACAGCGCACGAGCUAUGGACAGGAAGAGUGCCAUCCCUGCAACACUUCAGGGUGUGGGGAUGUCCAGCUGAGGCCAAAAUGUUUAAUCCAAACAUUGGAAAGUUAGAUCCAAAGACAGUGAGUUGCCAUUUCAUUGGCUACCCUGAUAGAUCAAAAGGUUUUCGUUUCUACUGUCCUGACAGAUACACAAAGUUUGUGGAAACGAGACAUGUUGUCUUCUUAGAGGACGAAAUGAUGAGGGGGAGCAUGGUAGCUCGAAAAAUUGAUCUUGAGGAGAAAAGGGUGCAUGCACCCAUUCCAAUGAUUCAAGAGCCAUUUUUCUCGCUACCCGUUGUAACUCCAACGAUGACAACUAUGGGAGAAGACCCGGAACCUGUCCUUCAGGAGCCGACUGAACCCGUUGUUGAUCAUGAAAGGGAAGUGCAGCAAGAAAUAGUAGAAAGUGUGCCAGAUAAUGAGGCACUUAGAAGGUCUAACAGAACAAGAAGACCUGCUAUUUCUACUGAUUAUAAAGUCUAUAACACAGAAAUGGUUCAUAUGGAAGGUGAUCCCACCACAUACGAAGAAGCCAUUAAAGCCCUCACUCAUCAAAAUGGCUAGAGGCAAUGGAAGAUGAGAUGAAACCGAUGAGUUCCAAUAAUGUUUGGGACUUAGAGAUAAUUCCUAAAGGAGCAAAGACAGUAGGCUGCAAAUGGGUCUACAAAACAAAGUAUGACUCUAAUGGGAAUGUAGAUAAGUAUAAAGCCCGACUUGUGGCAAAAGGAUUCACGCAAAGAGAAGUGAUAGACUACAAUGAGACUUUUUCUCCAGUCUCUUGUAAGGAUUCCUUCCGAAUCAUAAUGGCACCAGUUGCUCAUUUUGAUUUAGAGCUGCAUCAAAUGGAUGUAAGGACCGCAUUUCUAAACGGAGAUUUAGAAGAAGAUGUCUACAUGAAACAACCCAAGGGUUUUAUCAUGGAAGGCAAGGAAAAUAUGGGAUGCCGCCUAAGGGAAUCCAUUUAUGGGCUAAGGCAAGCCUCUAGACAGUGGUACAUAAAGUUUAAUGAUACUAUUAAAAGGUUUGGAUUUCAAGAAAAUGUCGAGGAUAACUGCAUUUAUGCAAAGUUUAAACAUGGGAAAUAUAUUUUCCUAAUCUUGUAUGUGGAUGAUAUCUUGCUUGCAAGCAAUGGUAUUAGUCUACUACAAGAGACAAAGAAGUUUUUAUCCUCGAACUUCGACAUGAAAGACCUUGGUGAUGCAUCAUAUGUUUUGGGCAUUGAAAUUCACCGAGACAGGAAAAAUGGAGUCUUAGGACUCUCACAGAAAGCAUAUUUAGAGAAAGUUCUCCAAAAGUAUAAUAUGCAUAAGUGUAAAGCCACACCUGCUCCAAUAGUCAAGGGCGAUAGUUUUGGGAAUCACCAAUGUCCCAAGAAUAAGUACGAGCUCGAUGAAAUGAAAACAAUACUGUAUACUUCGGCUGUUGGAAGUUUACAGUAUGCACAAGUGUGCACAUGCCCUGACUUGGCGUUUAUCACCGGGGUACUCGGUAGAUAUCAAGCAAAUCCAGGCCAAGAGCACUGGAAGAUGGCAAAGAAAGCUUUGCGUUAUGUGCAAGGCACAAAAGAAAUCAUGCUAACAUACAGGAGAUCUGAGUCCCUAGAGAUAAAAGGGUACUCAGACGCAGAUUUUGCGGGAGAUAGAGAUGAUAGAAAAUCCACGUCUGGGUACGUGUUCACUCUCGCAGGGGGAGCUAUUUCAUGGAAAAGCUCCAAAUUACAGACCAUAGUUGCAUCGUCCACGAUGCAAGCAGAGUUCAUAGCAUGCUUUGAAGCCACCGGGCAGGUGAUAUGGUUAAAGAAGUUUAUACCCGACUUGAAAGUGGUAGAUUGUAUUCACAAGCCACUAAAGAUAUACUAUGACAACCAGCCCGCAGUAUUCUAUGCUCACAACAACAAGUCUAGUAAUGCUUCCAAGACAAUAGAUAUAAAGUAUUACGUUGUGAAAGAUAAAAUCCAGGAUCAAACUAUAAGUCUCGAGCAUAUAAGUACGAAGUAUAUGCUUGCGGAUCCGCUAACGAAAGGCUUACCACCCAGUGUGUUCAAGGAACACUUAGCCGGCAUGGGUUUGAUGGAAAGCCUAUGAUUCCUGGAUCAUAAGAGGCCCAAAAGUAAAUGAAUUUGUUUCAAAACAAAAGUGUGUUGUAGCUGUAUGAUUCUAUCGCCAAUUAAGCUGUGACGAUGAGACAUGCUCUACAUGCCUAUAUGUGAUGGACCAAAUAAAAGGUAUAAAGUCAAAAGUAAAAGUCGAGAUCAAGGGGGAGAAUGUUAGAUUCAUCUCUCACUGCGUGGGCCCAACGGCCCACCGGGCCUUGAUCUAUGCGCCCUGAUCGGGGGCGCCCAACCCAUUAUGGUUGGUGGGCCCCUGUGACCUGCGCUAUAUAAAGGAAGGUGGGGUGCCAGAGCACGAACUACGAGAUUCGCUGCUGUCACACCCCUACCGACAUACCUAUCCGAUCUAGGUUAAGCGCGGUGCUCACGGGAAGCUCCACCCACGCCUAAGCCUCUUUCUCCGUCACCGCCGUUGCUACCGCACCGAUGGAGACCGGUGGGAGCUCAUCCAGCUCAGGACAAGGUAAACCUACGGGCACUACCGUGACUCAUCUACCCUAGUCGAUCCGCAGGAUCUAUCAAAAACCACACGAGGCCGAGUUCCAAAAAAAUCUCUUCGUGGAACUGGACUAGAACCAUCCCCUAGAAGCUACAGUUCUACCCCGGCACAACGGACCCAUCCUCAGCGAUCUCAAAAAGAUACGAAAGCAUCGGAAAAGCACAUUGAGCCUCCACGGCUUCCAAUAUGGGUAUAACAACUGAAAUAAGAGCACACAUUCUGCUCACACGCAACAGAAGUCAAACAAGACUGGAAAAUAACACGACCUCGAGAACGGCGAGACCAUCAGUACAUCAACAACCAUGACAACAUGCAAAAAGAUAAAUACAUCUGAAGCCACAAACAAUGUACAUGGAGUGGAAAAUGAGAGCAAACCUUGAGCAGCAGCAGCAGGUUGAAGAUCUAGAAACAGAGCACUACUUCCAACCUAUAAAAAAACACAAACAUAAUCAUCAGAACAUAGCAGGAAAAACAAAGCAGGUCCAGAGCACACCUAUUCCAUCAAUGGCACUAAACAAAUGCCGACCAACAUAACGGCAUCAUAACAAUUCUUUUAACCAAAGGAAAUAACACUACUCACUAUACUAAAACACCAUCUACUUAGACAUGCAGCAACAGAAGAAAAAACUCAUCAAUCAACCUCACACGGUGCGCUUUCACGCAAAGCAACAAACAAAAGCAACAUAAACCCUCUACAUAGAUCCAAGGCAGUCUAGAAGAGAAAGUGGAGCACAAGACAUGGUAGAUAUAGACAACUAAACAUUGGAGAAAAGCAACACGCUAUAUUAGCAAGGAAAAGAAAGCCCGGACAUGAACUGCAGAGGCAGCAAGCAAGUAAAAUGGACAAAUCAUCUAUCUUCUCAAACCUAAUCUUUUGGGCUAUCACUAAGUACCGCAUCUCCCCACCAUCCACAAAUAGAAAGAAAGAGGCUAAGGAGCAGCACAUUACCAAAAUGACGAAGCGGAACUAGAACAGCAGCGAGCAAGCAAACGCGGAGGAACAGUCGACCAACCUGAGAACAACCCAAAACACAAAUUGCACUCAUAUAAUACGCUCACGAACAACAUGAACCAUACACAACUAACAAGAGGCAAAAAUGCUAAAUCAGAACAAACGACAGCAGACAACCAUCCUUUCGAGCAUUUCUCCAAAUACCUUGACGGCAUGUACCACACAAAAGCAGAAGAGUUGAGCACUAACCUGGAAAGCAACAACGGAAUGACCCACGCUCCCAGGAAGGAGCCAACGGAAACAUCUAGCAAACUGUGCAUGAAUGGAGAAAACGCAAACAGACCACUUCAGUGAAGAAGAGAAGGAACGACCGGAAAGAACCGAAAAAGGAGAGGAGGAAGAACCUCAACUAACACCAUCCAUGGUACAACGGGCGGCCAUGGCGACAAGCCACAACACGAGUCAUUCGAACUGGAUGAAGCGGGGUGAAGAGGAAAGGACACAACAGUGUGGAAGGAGGACGACAUCGAGCGAACGAAGCGAGCGUGCAGAGAAUGAGAGACGGAAGAAGAAGGAAAGGGUCAAAUCGAAGACAACAGGACCCCCAUCCACCGCGACAGCACGGACAACUCUCACACACUGGCAUCGGAACCCACCACAUAUGCAUCGACACACGUCCUAUCUGGGGCCAGGGGCCACUGUCAGCCCAACAUGAGAGACAACGACAAACACACGCAGGGCACCCACCAG
rnacentral:lncRNA from 1 species